GAAAUUUUUUUUUCGUCGGCUAAAGUAUUUUAGUAGACGAAAAAAAAUCUCAUCAGCUAUUAUCCGUCGGCUAAAAGAAAAACAAUAAAAUGUUGUAUAACUUGUUUAGUAGGUUUUAAACAAAUACACAACUUUGUGAACCAACUUUACAUAGAAGCAAAAUUAACAAAAAUCUCGUGAAAUAAGAUGUGUUCAGAACGGUGAAAUACGGCUAUGGUUCAAAAAUCACGUAAAUCGGGUAACGUCUCUGAUGUAGAACAGUCGAAACCCGGUAUACUGCAGAUUUGGCAUUCGGUGUCCGAUUGACUAUUAUGAUACAUUUCCGGAAACAUAACGGCCCUACGAGUCAAACUCAUUGCUAUGCUAUGAUAUAUGGGUCUUUUUGGCCCUCCGAGUCCGUUUAGGGCUUUAAAAUGCAGUUUUCUUAUUUCCGAUUAGAGUUAACCGUUUCGAUCGAGCCCUUAACGUUGUCGAAUCCAGUUGAAUUUUUUACCGUAGAUAUCUUUCGUCAUAAUGAUCAUAUCUGACGGUCAAAUUUUGGUUUGUGAAUUUUAGUCAUCGGAAUCACGUGUCUACUAAUGUUGUAUAACUUGUUUAGUAGGUUAUACAAUAUAGGAAGCAAAAUUAUCAAAAAUCUCGUGAAAUAAGAUGUGUUCAGAAUGGUGAAGUACGGCUAUGGUUAAAAAAUCAUGUAAACUGGGUAACUUCUCGGUGCCGAUAGUAGCGGUCAACCCUAUUUACCGUUAUUAUUCCCUAUGGGGAACCCUAUCGUCGGAAGGUAAAUGUCUCAAAAUUUUUAUAUGGGCAGUUGCGUCUCAUCUACGUGAGAGUUUUUCAUGUGGAAAGUUUGACCAAACUAUGUAAUAUAGAGGGAGAUAUGAGCGUUUUCGUGUGAUAAGUGACGAUGGACUAAGGUUGACCGUUUCGAUCGAGCCUUUAACGUUGUCGGAUCCAGUUGAAUUUUUUACCAUAGACAUCUUUCGUCAUAAUGAUCAUAUCUGACGGUUGAAUUUUGGUUUGUGAAUUUUAGUCAUCGGAAUCACAACGUGUCUACAAAUGUUAUAUAACUUGUUUAGUUGGUUAUAUAACUUUGUGAACCAACUCUACAUAGGAUGCAAAAUUAUCAAAAAUCUCGUGAAAUAAGAUGUGUUCAAAAUGGUGAAAUACAGCUAUGGUUCAAAAAUCACGUAAAUCGGGUAACAUCUCGGUGCCGAUAGUAGCGGUCAACCCUAUUUACCGUUAUUAUUCCCUAUGGGGAACCCUAUCGUCGGAAGGUAAAUGUCUCAAAAUUUUUAUAUGGGCAGUUGCGUCUCAUCUACGUGAGAGUUUUUCAUGUGGAAGGUUUGACCAAACUAUGUAAUAUAGAGGGAGAUAUGAGCGUUUUCGUGUGAUAAGUGACGAUGGAUUAGGGUUGACCAUUUCGAUCGAGCCCUUAACGUUGUCGGAUCCAGUUGAAUUUUUUACCAUAGACAUAUUUCGUCAUAAUGAACAUAUCUGACGGUUGAAUUUUGGUUUGUGAAUUUUAGUCAUCGGAAUCACAAUGUGUCUACAAAUGUUGUAUAACUUGUUUAGUGGGUUAUACAACUUUGUGAACCAACUCUACAUAGGAAGCAAAAUUAUCAAAAAUCUCAUGAAAUAAGAUGUGUUCAGAAUGGUGAAAUACGGCUAUGGUUCAAAAAUCACAUAAAUCAGGUAAUGUCUCGGUGCCGAUAGUAGCGGUCAACCCUAUUUACCGUUAUUAUUCCCUAUGGGGAGCCCUAUUGUCGGAAGGUAAAUGUCUCAAAAUUUUUAUAUGGGCAAUUGCGUCUCAUCUACAUGAGAGUUUUCAUGUGGAAGGUUUGACCAAACUAUGUAAUAUAAAGGAAGAUAUGAGCGUUUUCGUUAAUUUAUAGACUUUAGCUGACGAGAUAUUAAAAAAGUCGUCAGCUAAGGUCAAAAUUUUUUUGGCGGUAAACCAAAUUUGGAGGAAAAUUUUCAAAGGACUUUAGCCGACGAAAAUAUUCAAAAUCUCGUCGGCUAUUGUAAAAAAAUUUUCAAAAUUUUCAACUAAAUUUUUUUGGCGGUCAACCAAAAUUUUCAAAAGAGUUUAGCCGACGAAAAUAAAUAAUUUCGUCGGGUAAAGUUCUUUAUAUAGGAGUUUUACCGGAGGUGGAUGGUAAGAAGUCAGAAAAUCAGAAAAAGUUCCGGAUUUUCUUCUCGGCCUAGCUCCGCCGUCAAGCAACCGGAGACCGCCACACUUGUCUCAAAAGCUUCGCCGUCGUCUCUACUUCAUUGCUGGACAGGUGGUGCAUCGAGUGGCGCCGCCGUGAGGGAUAAAACGAGCUCCAAAACUCCGCCGGUUCGGAUUCGGUGUCGAUCGAAUUUCUCAUUCCUCAGGUCACCAUUUGGUGAGUUCUAUAUAUGGAUAAGUUGAGUUUGAUUAGUACUACAUUCCCCUAGAAUUUGGUAGCUCGAUUCGGUGUGUGUGAGGAGAAUCAAAGAUUUGAAGUUUUUAGGGUUUAAAAUUGGGGAUUUUUAUAUUUGGAUUCAAUUAACCUAUUUAGGCUUAGAAUUAGGCUUCGACUUCUUCUAGAAAGUUGUUCGAAAUGUUGAGAGGAAGAUUUUGUCAAAUUUUGGUGGUGAUUGGAGGUGGCCGAAAGUUUCCGCAGUUUUUUUUUCUUUCAAAAACCAGCAACUUUAGCCGACGAUAUUUAAAUACUAUAUUCGUCGGCUAUAGUAUUUUUUAAUUUUUUUAUAGGGUUUAGCCGACGAAUUAUGGCAUGUUUCGUCGGCUAUAGUUAUUUUUUAAUUUUUUUUUAUAAGGUUUAGCCGACGAAACAGACUAUAUUUCGUCGGCUAUAGUUAUUUUUUAAAUUUUUUAUUACACACUUUAGCCGACGAAUAUCUUAUUGUUUCGUCGGCUAAAGUCUGGGAAAAAAACCGACGACAUGUUUUUCGUCGGCUAAACUAUGGGACUAUAACCGACGACGUCUUCUUUUUUCGUCGGCUAAAGUCAUCGCCGAAGACCUUUUCCCGACGAAAUCUUAGCCGACGAAUUAAGCUAACAGGCUGACGAAACUUUUUCAUUGGCUAAAGUGCUUGUCCUGGUAGUGACCACUACUAAAAUAUGCAUUAUCUCGACAUGCAUACAGAUUCACAUCAAACUCUAAUGUAUCAUAAAAAUGUCAUGAAGAACGACCAAAUUAAAUUCACCAGAUUUAGAUAUAGCAUAUGAUCAUUAAACAAAACCAGUGUUGCCUGUGUUUAUCCCAAUUUCUGAAACACUGUUAUGCAUGGCAUUGGUAGUACCUCUGGCUGUCCUCAACUUCUUUAUCAGACUGGACUGACUGGGUUCAUACAUAAUGACCAUUUUCUUCAACUUAUGAGCAUGCUCAAGCAUGUACAUUGCUAACUCAAAUCCGUUGGACCCAUACGUAAGCUGUAUGAUUACCUAGCCUCUAGCUCAGAAAUAAAAUCAAGGUCUUGGAGUUCCCAGUAUGUCCUAUCAAAUCCAGAUCCCUAGAUAAUGAACAAACAAGCAAAUUUAAUCAGAAACGUUAAAACUAAAAUAAAAGGUAUAUGGAAAAUCAUAAAUUCCAGUAAACUGCACAUUUUGAGAGACAACGGGAGAGAACGUAAAACGAACAUUCACUUAGCAGAUUUUCAUUAAGGAGGGGACUAAACCCUGAAUACAGCGGCGAAAGUGCCGAUAUAUGCAAAGUGUUCAACUUAGGCACUCCUCUAAAAAGAGAGACAAUACUAGGUACUGUCUUGUCAUCAAUAACGCUCCAAAUAUGCAGAUGCAAGUAACAAAUAUUAUAAAACGGUGCAGCUUUGAAUCGUUGCCUGAAAAGAGUCUAUGCAUUACAAAGUCAAGAACAUAAUUUUGGACAAGAAAUAGAUAUCAUAGAACCAAUAUAUUUGAAAUGUAUGCUUCUUUACGAAUCAAAAGGGAAAUGAAUGAGGAAGAUAGUAAAUGUCUAUUACCUCUAAAGUCCGUAUAUCCAGAAUAAGAACUUUAACCCUGCGGAUACUCCACAAGAACUGAUGACAAAUGCUGUCCAAGUCUUCUACUCCAUUAGAGGUUAAAGAAAUCUCAACUUCAUUUACACAACUGAGAUCCCCCAGAUUUUGAUGGUUCAUCAUACUCCCCUCCCAUUUCAGUUUCUUAAGAUUCGGAGCAAAAAUAUUCAAGCAAUUCACUUUAGGCAUACUACGGUACCACAGCAUAUCUAUCUUUUCAAGCUUAUCACCAGAGAUUCCAACAUUGAUAAGCUUACAAGAAUGAGUAGAGUAAAUCCUAAAUGAUUCCAAAGACGGGCUUUCAAUGGUGAUAGAUUUUAACCCUCUAACCCUAGCAAGGUCCAAUAUCUUCAGAGAUAUGCACGAGUAUGAGACCCAUUUGCAAAAACCCUCAUCAUCUUCUACAGUAACGUUGGUUAACCUCAAGCAUACGAGAUUAGAGGUAAAAGAUGUAGAAAACAAGGAAGCUUUAAGAAUUACCCACAUCAUGUUCACAAUUAAAGACCUCAAAGACCCGCAAGCAAACACGCAAGCAGGAAUUUCUGUUUGGUUUUUCUGAUCAUAGAUCUGAUCAACAUAAACUAGAGUCAGUGAAUCAACUUUGCAGCUUACUGCAUAACGAAUCCAAUCCAUAACUCGAGAUCUACAGAAAAGCUUUAAACUCAGACUUGCGUCAAGGUAUCGACCAAUAUCACAAUCAAUAAAAAAGCUUUGUAGUAUUCCCUCGUUGGAGGAAGAACCGAUCCAACGAGUUCAACAGCUCCAAUCGAUCAUCCUCGCUGCAAAUAGACACAUAGGGGAGUUCAGUGAUAUUCAACGUGGGAGUUGAUAGGUAGAGUCCUCUGCAACUUUAGGACAAACUCCCUACUCGAGUGACGUCAGCUAUAGGAAGGAAAGACAGAAUGCGAUGAGCAAGUUCCGGUGGAAGAGCAGUGAAUCUGUCCAUACAAACUACCUUAUCACAUCCCAGAGAUUCCAUGGCAUGCUUCUCAGAAGAGGAGAGGCAGCUGAUGAGGUUCUAAGACUUUACAAUGAGAUUUCUGAAGAGGAAACUAGGGUUUGAAGCGGCAUAAGUCUCCCGGGAACGACCUUGAUUGGCAGGCCUAGCUAUAUUUGCAUCUUCUUUCUUCGUACCAAGUAUAAAACCCUAAAUUGCAAGUAUAGAACCCUAAACAAUCAAGUUUAAUUGGCUCCCUCCCAACUUCUCGAUUUAUUUAUUCUUCUCUCUUACCCUAAUUAUUUACAUCUUUCUUCUCUUUGGCAGAGGAAAAACGUAUUGAACGUGAAAGAAAACAGGCCAGAAGCAAGAUAUGAAAGAGGUGCAGAGUCAGAUACCAGUCUGAAAGGCACUCCUGCCGUGAAGCCAAAGCUGCAAACAAAUCAGCAGCCUGAUUUUCUAGUGACCAAAUCAGCACUACUGAAUUGCUAGUUCCCCAGAAGCUUCAGUUAAUUCUGCUAGUGACCAGCUUCAAGCCUUCAAACAUUAAGUAAUAGCAAUUUUUGAUCCACUAGCUUGUCAUAUGUGCCCAUAAAACCAUAAUGUAGCAUACACAUAGAUAUAACUGCUUCUGACUUGAUUUUGAACCAAGUAUUGUAGACCCGCAUGGACAAAAAGUUCAGAGCCUAACACACUACAUUCAAUAAAAUUUCGGGACAGAUAGAAAGGAUGACACAUAAAAAUUGAGGUGCUGUCAAGGAUGCAGCACGAAUUGCAUACACAAAUGAGAUCAUCAGAAAACCUCUAGAGAGCUUAAAAAAUAUAUAUAGAAUCAAGAGGCUUAACAAUGAGUAAAUCUGUUGACAAGGACUGAAGAAUGCAGCAUUCCGGUGCUAAUAAUAAACUAGCAAAACUUUACCUCAGGCCCUCAAAGACAUUGGACUAGUUGGAUCCGCUAACCAUAAUUGGUGUUCCUUUGGAGCUGUAAUGCAUUACUUGAAUCUAUAUAGAAAAAUAAAAAAUUCUCCACAAAUGCAAAUGAGUUUACUAAAACAACUGUAUGAGGAUAUAGAAAACAAUGGGAGCAAAAUUAUUUUACCUGAAGGUAGCUGAAGUCAAAAGCAAAGGCAAAGCUUCAUUCUGAACAAUGAUUCCAAUAAUUCAUAUAAAAUGGUUUCAACUGCGGAAAAAUUAGUAUAUUCUACAACAUGUAAAGGCACCAACAGUUUGUUAAGCAGUUUCCAUGAUUGCCCUGAUAAUCUGAUUGAUACAGACUAGCCACUACAAGUGCAUAAUCAUGUGCUUCAAAAUCAGUAGUAAAAGCAUCUCGUGCACUGGUAGUGAAAAGUACUGCCAACACAAAAGCUAGAUGGAUGAAAAAAAUUGAGUUAACAAUUUUUAAAUAAGAAAUAUUACUGAUUACUGAAUAUAUCUUAAACAAGCAAUAUUACUGAUCAAAUUUGAAAAAAUAGAGAAUUAUGUGAUUGCCAACGGAUCAAUCAAACAAUCAUACUACAACAUAAGUAAAUUCUGCAAUAUAUAAAAUAAAAAUAUAAUCAAACUAAAAUUUUACUUUUCCUGAAUGACAAGUACGGCAUUGGAAAUCAUCCUGAUUUUCUUUAAUUUCAUUGUAACUUCCUUCAGAUCUACGGGCAAACAAAUCACAACCAUUCUCUGCAUAUUCGGAGCAUACUUGAGCAUAUACUUUGCCCACUCAAUUCCAUUAGACCCACUGCAAAGCUCUAUAGUAACAUGCUUAAGUUGCUUAGUGAAAGCAAGGUCUUGCGGCUUCCAGUAUUCCAUAUUAAACCCAAAUACCUGAAAAGGAAAACGUCAACAAGCAUAAAUGUACAUACAUGUUAUCUCGAAAGCAUGAUGAAUAAACUCCUGAAUUUGAAUGUAUGCUAAUGAUGUGAGAGAGAGAGAGAGAGAGAGAGAGAGAGAGAGAGAGAGAGAGAGAGAGAGAGAGAGAGAGAGAGAGAGUAGUAUANNNNNNNNNNNNNNNNNNNNGAGAGAGAGAGAGAACCUUUAACUUACAUUCUAUUGAGGGUCCUGUGGUGGUUUAGACUUUAUGUAUAACACACUCAAAUUAGGUGUUCUUCUUAAGACACAGACCAAUGCCGGGAUCAGCUCAUCAACAAAGCUUUCGACAUUCAUAUACAAAUAAGAAGUAUCAUACAAUGGAGCUGGCACAAAUACAUCCAUAAAUGUAGCCUGAAAUGUUGUAAAUCAGGAUUCUCACUUUCCUUUCCCUCUUUCAUAGAUAUGAAUUCUUGUUUGUAAAAACGUCAACUCAUAUUUAGUCCAACAAAUAGCGUGUAAGAAAAAGAAAAACAUGCAAUUUGCACGUCAUAGUUUUUGCAAAAUAAAUAAAAAUAAAAGCAGUUGUAGAGUUUAAACUCGUUUACCUUAUUUGCCACUUCAUUUAGCAAAAGAGCUUGAGCCCUACGUAAACUCCAAAGAACGUCAUGUACCUUGUCCAAUUCAUCUACUUCAGGCACCAGAGAAACUGCAGCUGUUUCUAAGCAUUCUAGUUUUCCCAGGUUUGGGUAUUUCAUCAAAUUCCCAAUCCAUUUAAGACAUUUAAGAUUUGGGGCAUCAACAGUUAAGGAUUUGUUGUUAGGUGAAUCAAAUGUCCAGUAAAGAUCUAAGUCCACAAGGUUCUCACUUGAGAUACUAAUAUGGCACAUGAUCCAGAGGGCCACAAAUGAAACUAAACCUUUUCAAAGAUGACCGAAAAAUUAUGAUGCGUUCUAUCCCAGGAAGAUGAGCAAGAUGUAGAUCCUCAAUGCACCUGCAGGAACAUGAGAUCCAUUCGAAAAAAUGCACAUCUUCGAUGUAAACAUUUCUCAACUGCAAAUACUUAAGAUUAGAGGAAAAGGCAAAAGAUGGGGUUCUGAGGACCGUAUAGUUCAUGACCACCACCAGAGACCUCAAAUGUGCAGAGAGAAACACAAAAGAUGGCAAAUACAUCACCUCAGUCUCACUAUCAUAAAAAGUCAUCUUAAGAUCAAGCACUUCGACAUUACACCGUACUGCAUUCUGGAUCCAUGUCAUCAAUCGAUAAUGCUCAUUAUCACAGAUGCACGGUGUCGCAUCUUCGUCCAUAGAAUGACGCUCCCAAGGGACACGAAACAACUAUAUCUUAUUAUCCCCACGAUGAAACAAUAACCUCUCCAAAUUAGUCAUCAAAUUCAGCCUCCCACCACACAUGGACAUGGCAUCCGAGGGGAACUCAUCAAAAUUCAACGACGGAGCAGAUAUACAAAGUUUUCCACACCUUUUGGACACACAACAUACACGACUAAGGUCUGGCAAAGCCAGGAAGGAAAGAAUGUGAUGUGCAACAGGAUCCGGAAUAUCGCUAAAUCUGUCAAUACUACUCUCAUUCUCACCACGACGUACUUCACCUCCACAACCUACGCCUUUGGUUCAUUUCCAGAUACACUAAACUAUUUCUUUUCCUUUCUGCAACAUAAGUUUGUUUCAAGAAACUAAAUCAAUCUGCUGUAAUCUAAAUACAAGCUUCUUCAGUUAAACAGCUACUAUUAACCAUCACUAAACUAUCCUACAUUUCAUUUCAACACUGAACCAAACUAAUAGAGGAGGAGUGGUCUUGAUAGUACGUAUCGUUCAUGUAACCGAGAGAUUCAUCUUACCCAGCUAGCAGGUUUAUGAGGAGGAUUGAUGAAUGGGGGCAAACGAAGCAGAGCUCGUAGAACCCUAAUUUUGUGGAUUAAAACUAACAAGCUACAGAGAAAAGCCUCUAGCAGAGUAGCAGAAAUGGUUAUCCCUUUUUCAUGUCUCACUUUCUGAGUAGAGUAGCCAUGCUACUUGUUUUGAUGCUUCUCAUUUGUAGAGUAUAGUCAUACUGCUAGGUCAUUAUAGUUAUGGUACGAUUCGACUCUUUGAUUCUUUUAAGUCGGCCCUUCAUUGUUCCUUGCCGACUUGUAUGGUACGAAUUGGUGAUUUCAGUGAAGGGACGGUCCAUUUCCAAUGUAAUGAACACAAAAGGUACAAGUACAACCCACAUGGGGGCUUUUGAGGGGUCGGGCCUAUAUGUUGGGCCAAGUUUCUCACCCCUAAACAAAACAUGGCCCUCUACCUGCUGGAGCAGAUCUACAACAUGCUUUUAGGCCGGUCGGGCCGAGCUUGCGGGCCUCCAUCGACCCACUUGAUCAGUGAGCUUAAUGGUGAGACGCCCAAGCUACACGUGAUGCAUAUUUAAUUAAUUUUAUAUUAGUUACAUUAUUUUGAUUGGUUGGAACCGAAAUAGUAUCAAGUUGAGUCACUCGAUUUGGUUGUGUCAAGCUGAACUCUCAAUUCAACAUCAGUUCCCAUUUAAAUUGAUUCGAUCAGUUCUGUUAAUUAAGAUUCAUUCUGUGAAAAAUGUCACCCCUAAAUAUAGAAUUUAGAAAUAAAGCUUAUGAGACUUGCAAAAAAUAGUUAGAAAGACAAUAUACAUAAUGCGUGCAAAACAUACCAAAACAACAUAUAUCCCAUCUUUUAAGAAGCAAAUUAACUACCAGAUGUUCUCAACGAAAAAAAAAAUCUACUAGAUGUGGGUAUAGGACCCUCCAUUAUUCAAUCAACAGCUGCAUCCCACAUUCUUGAUAUGGGUAUUAGAAAGUGCUAAAGCCAAUCCACAACUGGAUAUGGGUAGGACCUCAUCGUUCAAUCACAAAGGUGAUGUUACUCAAUCACGAUGGUACCGGAUGAAUUAGGAGGGAGGCAACACCAUCUUUCAUCACAUCUCCCACUCGUGUGUACUCAUCAUCCUUUUUGUAAAGAAGAUCAACAACUCUGGUUAGGUUAAGAACACGAGUAAGCACUGGCACAGGAACAGCAGUCGGUCUCAAAAACUCUUCGUUUAUAUCCUUCCACGAAUCUACAACUUUUUUGUUAAAAAUAUCAACCGUCUCUUGCUCCGAUACCCCAUAUUGCUUCAUGUAACAAUCAAUACUUGAAGCAAUAUGCUCUCUCUCUUUCUCAAACUGCAACAGAUAUAUAUAUAUAUAUAUAUAUAUAUAUAUAUAUAUAUAUAUAUAUAUAAUUAAUUCAAAUUAUUCAGAAACCGAUCGAUUUUAUGCUCACAAUAUAUAUAAUGCUUCAUCCUGUAACUAGUUACUGGUUCAUUAUUCAUAUAGUAGACAUACCUUGCCGGAAACAAGGUCAUCCAUGAGCCUAAAAAUAAUAUUGGAAGCUCUAAGAAUUUUAGGGUGAUUUGCCAACCACUCAAAUGCAUCCUUGGUUACAAUGUCUCCCAUUCCGACUAGCGACAUUGUCGAAAGGAAACUGUUUCCAACCGAACGUACAGAGACCUCCAUAUACUCGUCCAUACUUGGAGUGUAGUUUUCAUGAAGCCACUGUGCCUCCGCAAAGUAUAGUCGAGCUUGAGCUUUUAUCUGAAAAAUAUGAAAUACAGUGAUUAACAAUGAUACGUAGUACGUACUCCAAGAACUUACAUAAACAUUCAGUAUCAACAUACAAUUUCUUUUGCGAAGUGAACUCGGUAUGAUUUUCCUUGCUUCACCAUCUCCACCUCAAUUUCAUUGCACAAAAUGAACAGUCUACGAUAGAAGAUCUUCAUAUAGUCUGGCAGUUCAUCUAUACAAUUGACAUCCCACCUGAAAGUUUUAGAAACAUCGAUACUUUCAUAAAACAAAUUUCAGCAACAUAAAUCACAAUUUUUUGUUUCAAUGGAAACUACUUGUUUUGUACCUUUGAAUUGCUUCAGUAAAUAUUUUGAGUUCUUCGAAUGAACCAUAUGCAUCGUAGAUGUCAUCCAAAACUGAUCCAAAUGCAAUAGCUUUUGUUAAGAAAUGUCUUGCCUUUGAGUACUGGGGUUCAGCAUAUACUCCCAAUGUCCAAAAGUACAGCUCAACAAUCCUAUUUCUCGCGAAUGGUAGCUCCCUUUCAAAAUCUAGUUCAUCCCACCAUCUAAUAAUCUCACUGAGCUCCUUCUUGUGUAAAGACUGAACAAGAUUGAAAUCUAACUUUGCAAGUUUCAAUAAUAAAGCUACUGCUUCAUGAUGCAAAGAUUUUGGAUCAUCCGGGAAGAUUGAUAUGUAAUGCCUCGCGUAUAAUCUCUCUGGAAAUUUUCGUAGCGGUCUCUCUAAGGCUUGAGUUAUCUGGGCUGCCAGUGGAUGAUUUACAUCGUUUGCAGAUGACUCAAGGUGAGCUGUAGUGAAAUGUAGACCAUCUUCUAGAAUAUCUUCACCAUGGAUCCUUAGAUGUGUUGCCUCAUAAAAACUUAGCAUACCGGGCAGAUCGGAAGUCAAGCCUUCCUUGAAGUUAUCAUUUGCAUCUUUGAACCUCUUGAAUAUAUCUGGUUGAAUAGUAUUGUCAAAAACAGAAAGAAAGUAAAACAUAAUAACUUAAUAAGUGAAGAGUGAUGACCUAGCUGGUAAUUAUAUAUUUUCAAUCUUACCAGAUGAAACAUUAUAUCCAUGUUCCCGCAAUAAUCGAAAACGAAGAGCAACAUUGUACAAGUUACCAUCAUGAACACAUGCAGCAUGAGCCUGCUCGAGUGCGUUCUCUAUGUCUCUUUCGAAAUGGUAUGCAAUGCCGAGACGCUGCAUCGCAUCGAUUGACUUCAUCUGAGUCGAAAAGUCACUUGAAGCAUUUCUGAAAACUUCCCUUUUCACUACUACUUUCAAUUGAUUAACCUGCUUUUGCAGAAGGGAUCGAGUCAUCUGCAACAGAAGAUAUGGUACAAAUAAUAUUUAGUCACAUCUUCAAAAUGGUUUUGGGUAAGAAACAAUUAAUUUGUCAUCAAAAAAAAAAAAAUUAAUUGUAAUUUUGCAUGAGCUCUUACAGGGUCCUGGGAUUCUUCAUAGUUGCUGAACCGAUCUCCCCAGAUGCUAGGGUGAUAAAUCGCAGUGCGCCGAAGGAUUUCAGGGUUAACAAUUUUUGGUGUUUGGAUUGAAAGAGAAGCUGAUGUUCUUUUGAUGACAAAACGAGAAGCUAAUUGGGUUGACAUGAUGAUUUGCUUGCUAAGCUGCUAUGGCUAAUUGAAGUGUUGGUUUGUAUAUAAAUAGGCUCUAACUCAAUAUCUAGCGAGAUCCGGUAAAUCAAGAACCAUAUUGCAACUAUUGUCCGAAAGAAAGAAGAUGAUCGAAUUAUUAACUAUCAAGCUAGAUGCUCACAUGUUUUAAACGUUCGUUAGCAAAAUAUGGUUCUAUGAUUAUGAUGUUAUUGAAUAUAUGUAGAUGUCUGUUGUUACUCGGACAUAUAUGUCACAUUUCACUAAUUAUCUUUAUGUACUCUUUAUAUUUCAAAGUUCUACCUCUGUCUCUCUUCUUUUGGCCUUGAAUCUGAUUCGUUGAUUUUGAUUUCGGCCCUUUUGAAUCCUCUUUCUUCGGUGGAUUGGUCAGCUUCGUAGACUUUGAAUGAUAUCAGGGAAAGCGCUGGACUACGCCAACAUUCCGUACGCCAGAGUGGGUCCAAAACAGAUGGCUACAUAUUGUCCAUAGGGUUCAAAAAUGAAGGACAUAUACGUAAAUCCAGCAAUUAACUUCUGUUAGCAGUAAAAAUCACUCGUUAUAGUUAAAAUCUGAGGGACGGAGGUUCUUGCCGCCAAGACGGCGACGGAGGAGUCGAGGUCAGAGGGCGGUUCUUCGAGGAAUAUAGUGAUGGGGUCGGCACACGGCGGAGGAACUCGGUCGAUAUUGAUUCCGAUAGAGACGUAGCGGGAACCAACUUCCGGCGAAGCUAUGAGCUACUUGUUUGCGAAAUUGGUUUUGCAAUAAUUGAGGCAAAAGGAUUGGCUAUGCAAUACAGGUUUGUGAUGGUGUGGGUUGCUUUGCUCUCGGGCUUAUCGGAAUUAGGAGAGUGCGAGACCAACAUGUAAUUAAGGUGCCGACACUUUUGUUUACAUUUAGAUGAACACGACGAUGGAUGUGGAGUGCAAAGAGAGAUGAGUAAUCCAUUGUUGGAUCAUACUGGAGGAAUAGCUAAUGUUGGGUCAGUGGCUAAUUAAAAGAAAAAGGAAGUAUUCAACAUCUGGAGCUAUGGGCGCAAUCGUGGCAAUACCACUUCAAGUGAGUUAAAGAGCAUGCAUGUGCUGGCAUUACCACUUCAAUUUUGUGUAGUUUUAUCACCAACUAAACCUUGUUUCUUAUUAUGAUAUGCCUCUUGCAGUUCUUAGUUUGCACUUCGGUCAUAUUUGUACAUUCUUUUCCAUGAAUUGGUGCUCCCGCUCUUAAGCACGAGACCUCCGCCGAUAACCACCGUCUCUCUCAAAAGUCAAAACGCUUCGUCGGGAUAACUACUUUCGUUCCUCUCUAGCUUCCACUCCCAGCUCGGCAUCGAGAUCUAUCUCCCUCAUCCUCAUUGAGAAGCAUUUUGCAAUUUGCAUGGAAAAUGAUGAUCAGGAGCUUGGAACUAGAGUAAGAAGAGGUUAAUUUGAUGAUCAAGAGUUUGCCUAGCCUAGAAUGUUGGUGAUCACAUUUGUCGUUACCUCCCUCAAGCUUCAAUGCUCUCGUUAGAUGACAAGAAGCUUGCAACUUUGUUGUCAGAUACCAAGGAUCGCAGCUUGACAGGAAAGGAUGCAUCUGGGAUUUGAAACUUAUAUAUAGCUAGUUGGAUGACUGAAUCAGAUAGAAAUCUGUUGACAAUCAAGAAGCUUGGAUCUGCUGGACCAUAUCUCAAUUGAAAAAUGGCAGGAUGUUUUCGAUUUUGAUACACCUCGAUGACAUUAACAAGGAUUGGAAGUCACACAUUGUUUCUUCAGUGGGUUUGGUGAAAACUGUUUUUACCAGGUCAACAGAAAUUACAUCGUUUGCCCCUCUGUUUAAACGAAAGUGUUGGCGUACGCAUACAAUGGCGUUUUGUAGCUUUUGCCUGAUAUCAGAGGCUCAAGCCGUCUAUUCCAUCAUGUUUACUGGUCUUGGACCAGCAGAUUGGCUAACACAGCAGCAGACCUUGUUGCUUCUCUAGCCAACCGCAGGGUGUGUCCGGUUGACUGGGUGUCCAAUCCUCCUCCCUCCCUAAUGCGGAUUUUAUUAUUUGAUGCUCAAGCAGCCCCUCCUUAGCUUGUUUGUUGUUGUUUUGUUUCAUCUAUUAUAAUCCCCAGCCAUCUUUUGGUUUUGCAAUAGAAGUUCUUUGCUUACCAAAAAAGUUCUAAUCAUUUCACUCUCAAAUUUCAAUUAUUUCCAAAAUAGAAUCAAGCCCCAGCUAUAGUUGCAUCUAUCUUCUUUCUUCGUGCAACAUAUAAAACCCUAGAUCGCAAGUAUAAAACCCUAAAUGUGUACCAUCACUUCUACAUAUAUUUUUGUCUUCUGUAUUGCCCUAUUUGUUUACGUCUUUCUUUUCUUUGGCGGAGGGAAACUGUGGGCAUGAAAGACCUAGCUUAUGGGGGAGCAGAAACAGUACCAGGAGCUAGAUAUGCUAGUGACCAAAUUAGCACGUAUUUUGCAAGUCACCAGAUCGGCACUAUUGAAGUAUUGAUUUGCUAGCUCCCCAAGAAACUUCAGUUAAUUUUGCUAGUGACCAGCUUCAACAGUAUUGAUCCACUAGCUUCUCAUAUGUGCCCAUAAAAUUAUAUUAGUGGCAUGAUUCGUAAGUUUAUAGAUUUUUUUUUUUAUCAUACAAACAAUUAAAAUGCUACAACGAGUCUAUCGUGAGUUGAGUUAAAUUCACGACCUCCUAUUUACAGAAGGGAGACUGAUGUCACUAGACCAAAUAGUACGGGGCAGGUUUAUAAAAAUUUAUGUCCACAUAUAAUUACGAAUUACAGAUAUAAUAGCUUUUUAAAAAAAAAAAAAGAAAAGAAAAAAAAAAGAGAUAUACAUUGUUAAUACUCCUGACUACAAUCGAUUCACUUCGAUCGUUUUCACUACACUCGGUAGAAUUAGACAUAGAGGUGAAACUUGCAAAACAAUUGAAAGAAAACAUACAUAAUGCAUGAAAAAUACACCAACAAACUACACAUCCGGCCAAUCUUUUAAAAAGCCAAUCGAUCUAGGGGUAUAGAACCUCUCAUUUUGAAUUCAAUCAACAGCUGCAUCCCAUAAUAUUCCAUACAUGUAUCAGAAAGUGCUGAAGCCACUCAACAACUUGAUAUAUAUGAGUGAAUUAGGAGUGAGGCAACAACUCUGGUUAGGUUAAGAACACGAGUAAGCACAAGUACAGGCACAACAAUAAUGCAACUAAUGUCCAACAGGAAAACGAUAUAAUAUGUUUUUGCAGCUUCCGCACCUUUCACGUGUCUGUCGACUCGCCGGUGACAAGACAGCAGACGAGUUAUAGUACUUCACACAGCUGAAGCGCGCGAGAAACGUUUAUUGCGUCGCGUGACUUGCGUCCACAAAGCUUCGACAGUCCCACUAAAAUUGGGGACGCUAUGUAAGAAGGUUUGGAAGGUGUUUCGGGGACUACAUAAGCUCAUUAAAUGUAGUCCUUGCUUCAGCCAAUGAUAGCUCUUAUUUUGUUAUGUAAACAGUCUAGUCCCAUCCAGUCCCCCUUAACAAACAUACCCAUAAAACCACCUUUUCCUGCUUAUUACUUGAUUUUGAACCCAGUAAUUCAUUCCAAAACCUUCUUAAGAAGACUUUCAUAUCCCAAAGGCGGAGAAAUAAUCCGGCAGUUAAUUCUGCAUUUCUGCUAGUGCUCAGCUUCAGCUUGAAGCCAUAAAGUAAUGUUUGAUCCACUUGCUUCUCGGUGCGCCCAUAAAAACAUAAUGUAGCACUCGAUUGAUCAGUACUUGAUUUGAACCCGUGUUGUAUACACCCACAUGGACAAAAGUUUCGAGUCUCUCUCACUAUUCAAUAAAAUUUAGGGGCAUAGAAAAACAAUGACACAAAUGCAACUGAGGUUGUGUAGAGUAUGUGGUACGCAUUGCAUACACAGAUGAAUUCAUCAGGAAACCUCUGGAGAGCUUUUAAGGAAAAAAAAAAAAAAACAAUAGAAUCAAGAAAUAGGCAAAAGUGAAACUUAACUCCAUACAAGUAAAUCUGUUUACAGGGACUGAAGAAUGCAGCAUUGCGGUGCUAAUAAUAAACUAGCAAAACUAAACCUCAGGCCCUCAUGGACACUGAACUAGUUGGAUCUGCCGACCUUAAUUGGUGUUCCUUGAGAGCUAUAAUGCAUUACUUGAUUGAUAUGCAAUACGUUCUCUACAAAUGAAGUUAUGCAGAUAAUGAAUUCGCUGAAACAAUUGCGAAAGGACAUAGAAAGCCAAAAUCGGAUCAAGUUUAACUUACCUUGAGGAGUUGAAGUCAGAAGCAAAGGCAAAGCUUCAUUCUGAACCCUGAUUCCAAUGCUUGAUAAUUAGCAUGAUCACUUUCAACCAUGGGACAAUUAGUAAACUAUGAAAUGUAACGGCUCCAACAGUUAGUUAAGUAAUCACUCUGGUUGCACAGAUAACUAAUUAAUGCAGACUACCUAUUGCAUUUGCAUAACACAGUGCUUCACAAAAUCAGUAGUAAUAGCAUCUCGUGUUCUGGUAGUGAAAGAAAUACCAACAAAAACUUGCAAACAGAAUAAUGCAUGAAAAAUUAACAUAACAAUUCUUAUAUAAGGAGCAUUGCUGAUUACUGAGUAGAUCUCUAAACAGGAAAUAUUACUGGUUAAGUUUGAAAUACCGAGAAUCACGUAAUCCUACGGAUCAAUCAACAUUCAUACUACAACAUAAAUAAACUCUGCAAUAUAUAAAAUAUUAAAGAUAAGAAAACGGUCUAUUUGUUCUUUUUUACUUUUUCUGAAUGACAAGUGCAGCAUUUGAAAUCCUCCUGAUUUUCUUUAAUUUUGUUGUAACUUCCUUCAGAUCUACGGGCAAACAAAUCACAACCAUUCUCAGCAUAUUCGGAGCAUACUUGAGCACAUACUUUGCAAACUCAAUUCCAUUAGAGCCACGGCAAAGCUCUAUAAUAGCAUGCUUAAGUUGAUUAGUAAAAGCCAGGUCUUGCAGCUUCCAGUAUUCCAUAUUAUACCCAAAUGUCUGAAAAGAAAAAAGUCAACAAGCAUAUCGGUUAAACCAAAAACAAAAUCAAUCAGAAUGAAAGUACAGCCGUGUUAUCUCAAAAGCAUGAUGGAUAAGCUCCUGAGUUUGAAUGUAUGCUAAUAGUGUGUUACUGUGUUAGUGUGUGCGCGCAUGCAUGCGUGUGUGAGUGUGUGUGAGAGGGAGGAAAGCCUUCAACUUACAUUAGAUUGAGGGUCCUGUGGUGGUUCAGACUGUAUGCAUAACAAACUCAGUUUAGGCGUUCUUCUUAAGACACAGACCAAUGCCGGGACCAGGUCAUCAGGAAAGCUUUUGAUAUUCAAAGACAAAUAAGAAGUAUCAUACAAUGAAGCCGGCACAGAUGCAUCCCUAAAUGAAGCCUGCAACGUUGUGAAUUCAGGCUUUGAGUCAUAUUUAAUCCAACAAUUCAGGUUUCCCUAAAUGAUGCCUCCCUUCCUUCUUUCAUAGAUAUGAAUUUUCAUCUUGUUUGUAAAUCAAAACUUUGAGUCAUAUUUAGUCCAACAAUAAGAAAUAGAAAAGUUAAUGGAAAUUGCAAGUCAUAAAUUUUGCAAAAUAAAUAAAAAUAAAAACAGUUUAAGAUUUCAACUUGUUUACCUUAAUGGCCACUUCAUUUAGCAUAAGAGAUGGAGCCCUGCGUAAACUCCAAAGAAACUCAUGCACCUUGUCCAAGUCAUCUUCUUCAGGCACCAGACAAACAGCAGCCGUUUUUAAGCAUUCUAGCUUUCCCAGGUUUGGGUAUUUCAUCAAAUUUCCAAUCCAUUUGAAACAUUUAAGAUUUGGGGCGUCCAUAUUUAAGGAUUUGUUGCUAGGUGAAUCAAAUGUCCAGCAAAUUUGUAAGUCCACAAGUUUCUCACUUGAGAUACUAAUAUGGCUCAUCAUAUGAUCCAGAGAGCCACAAAUGAAACUAAACCUUUUCAAAGAUGGCCUUAAAAGGGUGAUGCGUUCUACCCCAUGAAGUUGACCAAGAUGUAAAUCCUCAAUGCACUUGCAGGAAUGUGAGAUCCACUUGAAAAAAUCAUCAUCUUCUAUAUAAACAUUCCUCAACUCCAAGUACUUGAGAUUAGAGGAAAAGGCAGAAGAUGGGGUCUUGAUGACCGCAAUAGUCAUGUCUACGACCAGAGACCACAAAUGUGCACAGAGAAACCCACAAGAUGGCAAACACAUCAACUCAGUAUCAUAUAAAUUCAUCUUAAGAUCAAGCACUUCAACAUUACACCAUACUGCAUUCUGGAUCCACGUGCUCAAUCGAUAAUGCUCAUUAUCACAGAUACAUGGUGUCGCAUCUUCAUCCAUAUAAUGACGUUCCCAACGGACACGAAACGACUGUAUCUUAUUAUCCCCACCAUGAAACAAGAACCUCUCCAAAUAAGUCAACAAAUUCAACCGCCCACCACACGUGGACAUAGCAUCCGAGGGGAACUCAUCAAAAUUCAAUGAAGGAGCAAAUAUACAAAGUUCCCCACACCUUUUGGACACACAACACACACGACUAAGGUCCGGCAAAGCCAGGAAGGAAAGAAUGUGAUGUGCAACAUGAUCCGGAAGAUCGCUAAAUCUGUCUAUCCCACUCUCAUUCUCACCACAACCUCCUUCACCCUCGUAACUCGAAAUCUCCCCCAACUUACGCCUUUGGCUCAUUUCCAUAUAAACUAACUGUAUCUUUUCCCUUCUGCAUCACAAGUUCGAUUCAACACAAGUUUUAUAUUUCAAUCCAAUGAGAUUCAGAAACUAAAUCAGUUACUGUAAUCUAACUACAAGAUUCUUCAGCUGGUAUAAACCAUAACUAAAAUAUCAAACAUUUAUUUCAACACUGAACCAAAAUAAAAGAGGAGUCGGUCCUGAUAGUACGUACCGUUCAUAUAACGGAGAGAUUCAUCUUACCCAGCUAGCUAAGUUUCUCUCUUCCUCUGGAAUUUGAUGAAUGGUGGCACCCGAAGCACAGCACAGCAACCCUAGCUUUGUGAAUUUGGGGUGAAAUCGGGCGCCCUGAUCACAUUUAAACGGUAUUUAUAACUGGCCAUAGGUUGAUUAAUGGGCCAAUUUUGCUUGAUCCGUUUCAAGGUAUGGCUUUGUGACCCGUCCAACUUGUUUAUUUAUUUUUUGAGAAUGUCUUUACACAUAUGGAGCCGGUGUAGUGAAGGUGGCCGAGCUGCAUAGUAUGAAACCCUCAUGUUAAGAGUUUGAGUCUCAACUCUCAUCUGGCUAGCAACUUUGAGGGACAUCCGGGUUCGUGCGCCUGUGUCUGAUUUUGUUAGGAUACUCUAAUAGAUCUUAAAGCUGACUGGCUGAGUAUGUUGCUAACUUGCUAACGUAACUGAGAUGACUUGUUUUCUCACCCCAUUGCUACUCUGUCAUAUCACACUCGAAACAUUCUAAUCAAAUCAUACGAGUUCUCUGAAAUCCAGAACGUCAAAGGCAGAUGAUUUUGGAAAAAAACCUUAAAAAAGGAAUACAGAACUGAGAUCAUAUGUCAUAGCCUAAUUGGAGAUGCAAGGUGCUCCGCUGUGUAAAUGGGAAAUCAACACGUGAUUCAAAUGAUGAUGAUAUUCAAGUAUUCAUCCGGUAGUGACAUGAUGUAAAUUCAGAAUUCUCCCAAGGCUAUAACCAACUCUGUAAUUCAGCGGAUGUAUCAACUUCUAUGUCCUGCUCCCGUGGCUGUUUUUUCAAUAUAAGUAUUUACUUGCACACAAGAAAAGAGCCAACAAGACAACAACACAAUGUCACAAGAGAUGGUAAAGUGAACUAAUGCCUUGUCGAAUGUCAACCCAGUACAAGAACAGAAUGUAUAGCAGUACUCAAGGAACAUUGCUGGUUAACAUCUGAAAAAAAUACAGAUCUAAUUUAUACACAAAAUGGGUCUGUCAACAUUGAUGCUAAACUUUCGAUGUUAUGACAGUUAGCUUCUGAAAAGUGCCAGAGGAGCUUCAUUAUCCUCUUUUCUCUCUUUCACGAUAGACAACCGUAGCACCGGAUACUAUCUUGCUUCCCAUUAACUUCUUUGUAACUGCAUCUGAAUCCUGGGGUGGAGAAAUAACAAUCAUUUGCAGCAAAUUCUGAGCGCACUCGAGAAUAUACCUUGCUAAAUCAAUUACAUUGGAGUCAUUGCAAAGUUCAAUGCUGACUACCUUCAGCUGAUCAAUAAAAGCAAGAUUUUGCAGCUUCCAGUAACCCAUAUCAAACCCAGAUGUCUGGUCAGGAAAAGGAUGACAAGAAAUUCAAGUGAAAAUUUUAUACAUCAAAUUUUAUUAUGAAUAAAGUUGUUUUGUGUGUGUGUGUGAGAGAGAGAGAGAGAGAGAGAGAGAGAGAGAGAGAGAGAGAGAGAGAGUNNNNNNNNNNNNNNNNNNNNGAGAGAGAGAGAGACUUACAUUAGAUUGAGGACCAUCUAGAGGGGGUUUAUACUGUACACAAAGAAUAUAGAGAUUAGGCAAUCCUUUGAAGAGAGAAGCUAUUGCCGGAACCAACUCGUCAGUAAUGCGUCCAGUAUCCAUUGUCAAACAAUGAAUAUUAGAUAUUGGAGCUCGCAUCGAUCCUUUACUGAAUGGAGCCUACAAUGUUGUAUGUCAAUUGACUAGUUAAAUUCCAACUGAAGUGGAAAACAAUAAGUCAACAUUGUUAUUAUCCAUACAACUUAAAAUGUCAAAUGUGAUCAAUAAUGUUCAGCAAAUGAACAUCAAUAAGCCAAAAUUCCAUUGCCAUACUACAAAUCAACUUCAAAAAGAAUCUAGUUCAUGCCACAUAAACAUAACAAAAGAAAAGAAAACAAAAGAUCUCAGACUGAAAGGUUCUGUUUUUUCUUUACCUUAAUGGUUGCUUCAUCUAGCAUAAGAGCUCUAACCUUGCACAAACUGCAAAGAACCUCAUACACUUUGUCCACUUCAUCUGCAUCAGGCCUUAGACGAAGCACAGCAGCUUCCAAACAUCUGAACUUUCCCAGAGAUAGGUGAUUCAUCAACUUCCCACUCCAACUCAAAACCUUCAGAUUUGGGGCACAAAUAUUUAAAGAACUGUUGCUAGGUGAUUCAACAUACCAGCCCACAACUAUGUCUUCAAGUUUCUCACCUGAUAUGCUAAGAUGGGAGGUGUUGAACACAUCGAAAAAUCUAAAUAUUUUCAAAGACGAGCUCGCAAUGCUGAUAGUUUCAAUUCCACGAACUUGAUCAAGAUGUAAUUCCUGAAUGAACUUGCAGGAACACGAGAUCCAUUUGAAAAACCGCUCAUCCUCUAUUACAACAUCUUUCAACUGCAACUUAGAGAGAUUUGAGGAAAACCCAAACGAGGGCGUUCUAAGAAGAGUAAAAUUCAUGUCCACCACUAACGACUUCAAAGUUCCACAGAGAAAGACGCUAGACGGAAAUGGUGCCUCCUCAGGAUCAUACAGAGCCAUCUUAAGGUCAAGCACUUCAACAUUACACCUCACUGCACAGUUAAUCCAUGUAAGGAGUCGAUAAUGCUCACUCGAACAGAUGCACACAGUUUCAUUUUCGUCCAUAUAAUGCCUUUCCCAGUUCACAUGAAAAGACUGUACCUUAUUAUCCCCACGAUGAAACAAGAACCUCUCCAAAUAAGUCAUCAACUGCAGCCGGUCAUAGCAUGUGGAUCUACAACUCGAUGGAAUGUCAUCAAAAUUCAAACACGGCGCUGACAGAGAAAGCUCUCUCCAUCUUUUCGACACACAACACAGCCGAACGAGGUCAACUACAGUUAGGAACGAGAGAAUGUGAUGAGCAACCUGAUCCGGCGGAUCACUAAGUCUGUCUAUCAUGCUCUUACUCUCACUACAACCUCCUCCCUCACCCUCACAACCAGCAAUAGCCCUUUUCUUAGGCUUCGACGCCAUGAAGCUAAACUUGGUAAGAUUCAAAUACUAGCAAAUCUUCCGAUUGCAACCUAACUACAAUCUUCUUCACCUUCACAAUUCAUAAUUCACAGAACUCAUGACUAUCACAUGGAUAAUGUUAAUUUCAAAACUUAACGAAAACGAAGAUAAGUAAGAUGCUUGGUACCGGCACAUACCGAAUUCGAGAGAAUUCUAGAUUAUCCAGAGUGGGUGCGCCUCAUCUUCAUAGAUCCAGAUUCUGGAAUUUGAGGCAUUGCCAUUUUCCCUCGCGAUGCAGAGCACUUGUGAACCCUAAUUUGUCAUUUAGGGGUGGUUGGGGACUUGGGAGUUCAAAUGCUCUAAAUUUGGGCUUUUUGAGUGGGUUUUACGGCCCAUCAAAGCUGACAAAGUAUGAAAGUUCGCAAUUUGGUGAUAUUUUUAAAGGCCCGACUUUAUAGUAAGUAGUAGAGAUACGUAGGCAAUGAAUGUUUUUAUAUGCAAGAUAAUCAAGGGAACUAAUCAUAGAAUUCAUAAAUCCUAACCGUCAUUUGGACAUGAGGCCAUAAGUGAGUUGAGAUGAACCGAUAUUCAACGAAAUUGAUCAAGAAACUUUUUCGGUUGGUUUAAUGGAAGCAUACUUGUACUCUGUUGUAAACAGGCAGUCGCUAUAAGGAUUCUACGCUUCUGCUGGCCCAAUUUGUAAAGGACAUUCUUACAAAGGAGCCAUACUUAACUUCGUCCCGGCUUUGGAGUGGGUAACUCACUUAACCACCAUUCUUUUUUUUUUUACAAUAAAAAAAAAAAAAAAAAAAAACAAUGCAUGCCAACUUUCAUGACGUCCUCUAGUUCAAGGAAUGAAAGGAUGUGACGAGGAACUUCGUCUGGAAGAGAACUAUGCCAACAAGAAAAAUGCAAGUACUAUGUGUUAAAAUUACAAUAGGGUGACCUCUGACUUUCCAAGACCAAAGAAAGAUCAUGCCAGGGCUUGUAGCUGCGGUUAAAUCAAAGGGCGCCUCGGAUACCCUUCCUCUCCCAGGCUCCCAGCCUUUCACUUCUCAAGCCAUCUCUGAAGCAAAGCGGAUGAUAAUACUCGGGCAAAUCUCUUGCUUUAUGUAUACUUCAAUCCAUUCCCCAGGAGCAUUACCAUGACACUACCCUAACGCACAAAAAACAACUACUAGUAUGACAUCGCAAUAAUGUCUCAAUAAGACCAACAAAUGCAGUAAUGCUGAAGCAAGACAGGAGGAACAAAUUCAUUACAUUAAUGCAACAGCAGAGUACCAGCACUAUUCCUGAGACCCUCCUGUGUCUCAUUACUACCAAGUAGCAACAGCAAUCCUCGCUAAUUAGGAUUACAUACUAAACAUAAGUGAGUAGGCAAGCAAGUUAUGUGAUUACUCUGUCUGUCAUUCAGAUCAUCCAUAUCAGAUAAUUUUCAAUCAAGCAUAAGGCAAAACAAACACAACCAUAUAGCAGCACACAAUGACCAACAAACAAUAACAAGAUACAAUUACACUGGUUCAAAAAAUUCCAAAACAAAUUUCAACACCUGCACUUAUGUUUCAACAUGAUAACAAAAUACAUUCUCAGUAAUGGCUAAGUGGGUCAACUGAAGCUCGAUAUUUCUUAAAAAUAACUGCGGCAUUGGAGAUCAUGCAACUCUUUCUUAACUUCUUUUUAACACUUGAUUCACGAGUUAAAUACCUAAUGACCAUCUUCUCCAGGCUCUUUGCAUGCUCAAGAACAUACCUUGCAAACUCAAUCCCAUUAGAUCCAGCACUGAGCUCUAUAGUAACUUCCUCAACCUCAGAAAUAAAAUUCAGGUUUUGCUUCUUCCAAUACUUCUUAUUGAACCCAGAUGUCUGUAAAGAAGAAGGCAACACAGAAGUCAGUAUGAACUAUAGAGGAGACAAACACAUCAUCUAAAUGGCACAAGGUCGAGAGCUUAACUUACAUUAGAUUUAGGGUCAAGUGAAGUUGGUUCAUAACACAUGUAUAAGGUACACAAAUUUGGGGUUCCUCUUAAGAGAGAGACAACUGCCGGGACUAGAUCAUCAGCAAAGCUACCAGUAUUUAUUCGCAAGCACCAAAUCUUAUCUAAUUGAGCAUGCAUGCGCUCCUCCCUGUAAGCAGCCUGUGAUAUUAUAAAGGAACACCUUUAUCAUGUUUUUCAAUUUACUUCACUUCUGUUCAACAAAACAUGGAUUAAACAUGACCAUUAUUUAUGUAAAAGCGCAUUUAUAAACAACAGCGAAAUUGUAAGAACCAUAACUAGUCAACUUAAUAAACAGUCACAGGAGUUCUGGUUCACUUUACCUUGAUGAUAGCUUCAUUGAGAAUAAGAACUUCCACACUGCACAAACUGGAAAGAACCUCAGAUGCUUUGUCAAACUCAUAUACUAUAGGCUCCAUAAUAAUAGAAGCUUCUUGUAGACAAUCUAAGUCUCCCAGAUUCAGGUUAUUUUUCACAUUCCCUUCCAACAUCAAAUAUUUAACUUUUGGAGCAAUAAUGUUCAACAGGGUGCUUCUAGGUGAAUAACGGCAGUCAAUAUUUAUUUUUUCAAUCUUCUCACCAGAAAUGUUAAGAUAGGAAGUAUUUAACACCUCAUAAUGAAUAUAGAAAAAAUCUUCCAAAGAUGAGCUUUCAAUGGUGAUAAUAUUUAUCCCAUUAAGUCUCGCAAGAAUCAAUUUCUUAAGUAGCUUGCACGAACAUGAGAUCCACUUGAAAAACCCCUCAUCUGCAAUAUCAACAUCGCUCAAUUCCAAGGUCUCAAGAUUAGAGGAGAAUGAAAAGGAGGGUGCUUUAAGAACCGCAAACGACAUUUCCACAUUUAGAGACCUCAAAGAUGCACAUUUAAAGACACAACACGGAAAUGGUAAAAGUUCCCCAUCAGGCUCAUAAAAUGUCAUGUUAACAGAAAGCUUUUCAACAUUACACCUCACAGCAUUCUGGAUCCAGGUGAUCAUUCGGAAGCUCUCAUUAACACAGAAGCACGGAGGGUCCUCCAUCUCGUCCUCACAAUGACCCUGCCAACUAAGACUAAAUUUCUGCAACUUAUUAUCCCCACGACUAAUCAAGAACCUAUCCAAUGCAUUCACCAGCUUCAACCGAAGCUCGCACGGCAUCUCAUCUAUAUCAAAUCCACAAUUAUAUCCACCAAUACUCACAGACGGAGCGGACAGAGCUAGUUCUUUGCAUGUACUGGACACGCAGCAGAAGCGAGCCAGGUCGCGAAUCACAAGCCUAGAAAGAAUGUGAUGAAGGAUUUCCUUCGGAAGCUUGCUAAACCUGUCAACCUCACCAUUUCUACUCUUGCGCUUGUGUUUCAUGAUUCACACUAUCUUUGCUAUAAGAUUUGGUUGAAAUUUAUACAGGUAUAAGAGAUAUGGAUUCAGACUCUGAGCCAAAGCAAAGUAGUUAUGAUUCGAGUACGUACCACAUUCAUGAACCAAAUUGAAAUGCGAGCUUACUCUCUAGCAAGCCCAAAUGGAUUGAUGCUGCGAUUUGAUGGAUUGAAAGGUUCCCUCCCGAAGCAGAGUGAACCCUAGUACUCGGAAUUCGGGCGUUUCUUUCUCCCUUUGUGUUUUUGCGUUUUGGGGGAUUUUAUAUGUGAUCCAACCGGGCUUCCGGGUCAGAUUGACUUGACCCGUUAAAACAUGAGUUCGGGUCAAAACUUAGAACCAACUAAAUUUGUUCCUGUUGCAUAUGCCUUGUGUCUAUAAGUCUAUAGAGGUUUCAGGUCUUUCUUCUUCUUCUUCUUCUUCUAUGCAAGGAUUUGAGUUCAACUUACGUACUAUAUAUUCAAUUACAUUGUACAUUGAGAUCUAACAACCAUCAGUGUCGGCUGGACUUGAAUCCGGACAUUGGGGGUUUCAUACGACCCUCUAGUUAAGAACUCGACCAUCUGCGCUAGUUAAAACUUGGGAAGUAUUAUCACACAUUGGUUAUCAGCUGAAAAUACAUGCCGAAACAUUGGUUUUGUUUUAGUAUCAACGAAGAUUUAAGGAAGAUUCUUGACAACCGCGAAAAUUGUUCAUUAUAAUUAGCAAAUUCAACCAUGAAGAUUAUGAGUAGGCAAGAUAUAAGUUUGCUCUGUCACGGCCAGUAUGAUCAUCCACACUACUAAACUCGGAAUGAGGCGAAAUUCUUUACAAUCAUUGAGUAAAAUUCCAAACCGGAUCAAUGGACAUUAGUCACAUUACACAGGGACUCUGAAAUAACAUUUCGAAACUAUCAAAUGGAUCUUUCAUACUCCUCGAAAGUAACCAUGGGAUUGGAGUUCAUCUUACUUUCUUUUAACUUCCCUAUAUCAUUAGAUUGCUCGGCUAAAUACCUAAUGACCAUUUUCUCCAGGUUCUCAGCAUGCUCAAGAAUAUACCUUGCUAACUCAAUUCCAUUAAACCCAGCACUAAGCUCUAUGGUAACAUCCUCAACCUGAGAAAUAAAUCCCAGGUUUUGCAUCUUCCAAUACUCAAUAUCAAACCUGGAUGUCUGUAAACAAAACAAAAAAUGAUAACAAGCAACUUAGUUUCAAUUUUUAUUUUUUAUUUUUUAUUUUUAAAUAUAACCAAAGACAAAAAAAGAAAGGAAAAUCAUAUUUGAAAAAAAAUUGCUUAUCUUAAAAGAAUGAAGGAUAUGCUACUGACUCUAGAAAAUAUAAGAUAGAGAAUGAAACGAACUUAGCUUACAUUAUAUUUAGGGACGAGUGAGGUUGGCUUAUACCGAAUGUAUAAAGUACACAACUCUGGUGUUCCUCUUAAAAGACAGACGACUGCUGGGACUAGAUCAUCAGUAAAGCUACCAAUCUUCAUUUGCAAGUACCAAACCUCAUCUAACUGAACUUGCACGCGUUCCUCCUUGCAUGCAGCCUGCAAUAUUAUUAAGGCAGAACUUCGGUCAUGUUUGCCAUGCCAUCUUACUUUCUCUUUCAAACAAAAGAUAAGAAUAAAUAUGAACAUUCAUUCUUGCUACUGAGACCAUUAUUUAUGUAACAGUGCAUUUAGAAACAACAGAGAAAUUGUCAGAAACACAAAGUGGCCAAGUUAAAAUGCAGUCCCAGGGUUUCAAUUCACUUUACCUUGAUGGUAGCUUCAUUCAGAACAAGAACUUUAACACUGCACAAACUGGAGAGAACCUCAUAUACUUUGUCAAACUCAUCUACUAUAGGCUCCAUAAGAAUAGCAGCUUCUUCCAAACAAUUCAAUUCUCCCAGAUUUAGGUCAUUUUUCACAUUCCCCUCCAAAAGCAAACGUUUAACAUUUGGAGCAACAAUUUUUAAUACGGCGCUGCUAGGUGAAUGAUAGCAGUUGACAUUUAUUUCUUCAAGUUUCCCACCAGAGAUGUUAAUAUGGCAGGUUUCAAAAAUCAUGUAAUUAAAGAAAUCAAAUUUUUCCAAAGAUGAGCUUUCAAUAGUGACAUUAUAUAUCUCACAAUCUGUAAGAGAGAUAUCCUUCAAGGAUUUGCAGGAACAGGAAAUCCACUUGAAAAACCCCUCGUCCUGUAUAAUAAUGUCUCUCAAAUCCAACCUUUUGAGAUUGGAGGAAAAAGUGAAUGAGGGUGUUUUAAAAACUGUAUGUGGCAUCUCAACCACUAAAGACCUCAAUGAUGAUGAACGAAAGAUGCAAGAUGGAAAUGCUAUUGGUUCUCCCUCAAAAUCAAAAUAAGCGACUGCAAGAUGAACCUUUUCAACUUUACACCUCACAGCAUUCUGGAUCCAGGUGUUUAUUCGGAAAUUCUCAUUAACACAGAAGCAAGGUUCGUCAAGCUCUUCAUCACUGUGACCAUCCCAAAACAGACAAAAGCUCUUCAUCUCAUUAUCCCCACGACUAAGCAAGAACCUAUCCAAUGUAUUCACCAACUUCAACCUAAGCUCACACGCCAUAUCCGCCAUUUCAUCUGUAUUAAAUCCACAGAAGUUCACCGACGGAGACGACAGACAUAACUCUCUCCAUCGUUUGGAGACACAGCAGAAUCUAGCAAGGUCUUUAACCACAAAAUCAGAAAGAAUGUGAUGAAUAACUCCCUCGGGAAGAUUGCUAAAUCUGUCUAUCAUAUUCACAGUACAGAGCCCUUCACCCUCACAACUUCCAGUAGCCAAUGACUUACGCUUCUGUGCCAUCAUACUUUAACUUCUAUUUCUCCAAAUCUACAAUAACAAGAGAAAUGAGGGCCAAAUUCUCUAAACAUAAGUCAAAAGAAUUUCACACCAAAAUUCUCUUACAUAUAUAAUCUGGGUUUAGUUCAAUCAAUGAAAACUAACUAAUUUAUGCUACAAAUCUACGAGAAAUUGAUGACUGAAACUGUAAAUUAUAUUCAUUCAAAUUGUGAGCUAGAGCAAAAACAGAGUAUUGAUAGUGUAGAUAGAUUACGUACCACCAUUGAUGUACCCAACAGCUGGAAUUCGAUGGAUUGAGAGUUGACUCCGGAAGCAGAACGAACCCUAAUUUUGCAGAAUUGGGGCGAUUCUGAAAUGAAGACUCGCAUAUAAGAUAGCUAGAGAAGGACUUGACCCGUUAAACAUGGGUGCGGGUCGGGAAAAUAGCCCAAUAAUCAGAACCCAAAAAGAGGCCUGCUAAAAUAUGGCGGGAAAGUAGAGAUUAUGUGACUUUUCAGUCUCUUUAGCCUCUAUUUUGGUAACUGAUCAUGCUUAUGUAAAUUACUGGAAAUUUAGUUGAUUGGUAAAAAGUUGUGUUUUCUUUUGGAUCAAUUGAGUUUCUGGAAACAUAAAAUCAUGGUCAUGAGGAUCGUUUAUCUCUCGAGUCUCGACUGUAAUAAAAGUAGUGAUAUGGGUCUAAUGUUUGGUUUAUGCCAAAUGUAUUUUUUUUUUUUUUGGUUGUGGUUUAUGGCAAAUGAUGAGGCCAGGAAAAGUUUGUAACUUCGUUUUUCUGUGAAAUUUCUUUUUUAGCUUUAUGGAAGACGAGAGAGACAUAUUCAAACUUGCAAAGGAAAGCAAUCGUAAUAGCUCAUAAUCCCGUACUCAAUUACACAUUUGACCCAACAAUCAUGACGAGCCGUCGUCCCGGCCGCUCCCCGCUCCUCAACCCAUCACCCUUCAACAUCUACCUCUUUCCACCCUUCAAAUUGUCACUGUUUUGAGGGAUAAGUUGGAGCUGCAGGCGGAGUACAGGUCGAAGUGGUAAAAAAAGGAUGGAGGAACAGAGGAACAAGGAUGAGACUCAUGAGAGUGAGAUUAGGGAGAGUCUGGUGAGAUUAAACAAGAUAAGAUGGCUAACACAUGCGAGGUUGAUGUCCAUCACUAACUCGGGGAAAUAUAGGACAUUCAAGGGCACGUGAAUAUGCCUCGGGAAAAUCCAGAAAUCCGGAAACUUUGCAAAAGAUUAAUGAUAGGACAGGAUCAGUACUCAUGUUCAAAAAUGCAAAUGCCUGUGCCCAGCCACCAUGAAGACCAUGACCGAGUGGGCAAGAUAUGUGUUUACUCUGUCACGACUCACGACCAGUAUGAUCCAUAAAAUAAGGCAGAUACUUUACACUAAUAUCAAACCGGAUCAUUCAACGUUACACACGGAGUCUGAAAUAACAUAAACAGAAAGUCAGAACUAUCAAGAGGAUCUUUCAUAAACCUCGAAUGAAGGGCCUUUCAUAUUCCUCGAAAGUAACUGAGGGAUUGGAGAUCAUCUUACAUUCUUUUAACUUCCCUAUAUCAUUAGAUUGCUCGGCUAAAUACCUAAUGACCAUUUUCUCCAGGCUCUCAGCAUGCUCAAGAAUAUACCUUGCUAACUCAAUUCCAUUAAACUCAGCACUAAGCUCUAUAGUAACAUACUCAACCUGAGAAACAAACCCCAGGUUUUGCAUCUUCCAAUACUCCAUAUCAAACCCAGAUGUCUGUAAAAAAAAAAAAAAAGACGAAAACAAGCAACUGAGUUUCAAUUUUUUAUUUUAAGUCACCAAAUACAAUAAAGAAAGGAAAUCUAUAAUUAAAAAAAGAGAGAGAAGAAAGUAAAACUGCAUUAUCUGUAACACAAAAAAUAAAGAAGUAAAACUGCAUUAUCGUAAAAGAAUGAAGAAUAUGCUACUGGCUCUAAAAAUGAUGAGAUAGAGAAUGAAACGAACUUAGCUUACAUUAGAUUUAGGGUCGAGUUCGGUAGGUUUAUACCAAAUGUGUAAAGAACACAACUCUGGUAUUCCUUUUAAAAGACAGAUGACUGCUGGGACUAGAUCAUCAGUAAAGCUACCAAUAUUUAUUUGCAAGUACCAAACAUGAUCUAACUGAGCCAGCAUGCAUUCCUCCUUGUAUGCAGCCUGCAACAAUAGUAAGGUAGUACCUCUAUCAUUUUUGUCAUUCUCUUUUAAACAAAAUAUAUGAACAUUCAAUAUUGUUACUGAGACCAUUAUAAAUGUAGAAUUGGAUUGAGAGAACAAUGGUGAAAUUGUAAGAAACAUUAUGUGGCCAAGUAAUAUGCAGUCUCAGGGUUUUCAAUUCCUUUACCUUGAUGGUAGCUUCAUUUAGAGUAAGAGGUUCAACACUGUACAUACUGGAAAGAACAUCAUAUACUUUGUCAAACUCAUCUAUUAUAGGCUCCAUAAGAAUAACAGCUUCUUCCAAACAUUUAAGUUCUCCCAGAUUCUGGUCAUUUUUCACAUUCCCCUCCAAAUUUAGAAGUUUGACAUUUGGAGCAACAAUUUUUAAUACGGUGCAGCUAGGUGAAUGCUUGCAGUCGACAUUUAUUACUUCAAUGUUCUCACCAGAGAUGUUAAUACGACAGGUUUCAUCAACCUUGUAAUUAAGGAACCAAAAUUUUUCCAAAGAUGAUCUUUCGAUAGUGAUAUUAUGUAUCUCAGCAACUUCUAUAAGAGAUAUCUGCUUCAAGGAUUUGCAGGAACAGGAAAUCCACUUGAAAAAGCCCUCGUCGUGUAUAGUAACGUCACUCAAAAACAACUUUUUGAGAUUGGAGGAUAAAGUGAAUGAGGGUGUUUUAACAACAGUAUGCGGCAUUUCAACCACUAAAGACGUCAGCGAUGUUGAACAAAAGACGCAAGAUGGAAAUGCUAUUCGUUCUCCAUCAUAAUCAAAAUACUCGACUACAAGAUGAACCUUUUCAACUUUCCAGGUGAUGAUUCAGAAAUUCUCAUUAACACAGAAGCAAGGUUCGUCAAGAUCUUCAUCCAUGUGACCAUACCAUAAAAGAUAAAAGUUCUUCAUCUCAUUAUCCCCACGACUAAGCAAGAACCUAUCCAAUGUAUUCACCAACUUCAACCUAAGCUCACACGCCAUAUCCACCAUUUCAUCUGAAUUAAAUCCACAGAAGUUCACCGACGGAGACGACAGACAUAACUCUCUCCAUCGUUUGGAGACACAGCAGAAUCUAGCAAGGUCUUUAACCACAAAAUCAGAAAGAAUGUGAUGAAUAACUCCCUCGGGAAGAUUGCUAAAUCUAUCAAUCAUAGUCACAGUACAGGGUCUUUCACCCUCACAACUUCCGGUAGCCAAUGACUUACAUUUCUGUUUCAUUCUACUUAAUUCCUAUUUCUCCAAACCUACAAUGGUAAAAUAAAUGAGCGCAAAAUCGUCUAAACACAAAGUCAUAAGAAUUUAACACCAAAACCAGUUUAACUACAAACAUAUAAAUCCUUACUUAUCUAAUCUGGGUUGAGUUCAAUCAAUGACAACUAACUUAUUUAUGGUACUUAAACUGUGAAUUAUAUCCAUUUAAAUUGUGAGCUAGAGCAAAAACAGAGUAGUAAUAGUGUAGAAGGAAUCACGUACCACCAUUGAUGUACCCAACAGCUGGAAUUCGAUGGAUUAAGAGUUCACAACGGAAGCACAAGAACCCUAAUUUUGCAGAAUAUGAUUGCAGUGUUUCUGAAAUCUUAUAUAUGGGAGAGGAUGACUUGACCCGUUUAACAUUUCGGGUCGAAAAACAGUGCAAAGAGAAACUGGAUAUGAGUGAAUUGAAAGUAGGCCACUAAAUUAAGGCCCAAAAAAGAGGCCUGCUAAUUAUAGUGAAGUUAUUUGACAAUUUGACUUUUUCAUUUGUCUUGCCUCUAUUUCGGUUAGUGAUGAUGCUUCUGUGAAUUGCUGGAAAAACUUGUUUGAUGGAGCAAGGAAUAGUCUGUAACUUGAUGUUUUUCUGCGUAAAUUCCAGUUUAGUUUUAUUGAAGAACGAAGACGAGGGACAAAUAUAUUCAAACUUGCAUAGGAAAUGAAUUCCAUAGAUGUCACUCUGUUGGCACCUGCAUAAUUAGUACAACUCGACAAAAAAAAAAUUCAAGACUUACAUUUGUUUUAGCUCUAAUAAUUCAUACUAACAAAAAAUCAAGAAUAACUAGAAAGUCAUGUAAAUCCAUCUGAAACAGAAUACAAGAAUAACAAGAAACAGAAUACAAGUACCAGAAAGACAAAUCUAGAGUUUUCAUCUCAUAGUAAUGCCACAAUGUGUUCCAUCAAUAUCCACAACGAAGUUCAUUAAAAAUUAACUCUCUUCAGGAAAACCCAGAUGGUUUAAGUACGCGCUGUAUCUGUCAUGAAAAACAACAGUGGCAUUGGAAAUCAUCUUGUUCUGUAACUCCCUUACAGCAGCAAAUUGUUUCACAAAAUGAACUAUGACCAUUUUCUCCAAAUUUGGAGCAUUCUCAAGGAUAUACCUUGCAAACUCAAUUCCAUUAGAUCCACUGGGGAGCCAUAGUGUUGCCUCUUUCAGCUGAUAAAUGAAAGAAAGCCUUUGCAACUUCCAAGAAUCCAUAUCAAACCCGGAACACUGAAAAAAAAGAGAAAAAAACAGCAACAACAAAGACAACAUGAUAUUCAAUUACAUUUAACAACAAAAAUAGGAUUUUAACAAGGGGAUAUUUCCAGAGAAGUUACUCUCAAUCCCUAACUUUAUCGGGUCAUCUCUAUUAAAUACAGAAAACUUUUCUCUUCUACAUAAAAUUCUGAAGUGAUUUUUAUUUGUAUUGUCAUAUCAACAUGUUCAUAGUUAAUAACUAUGACUAGGAGAACCACUUAUGCCAUUAGCAUUUUGUUUAUCUGAUGUUAACAUAUAAUUGAGAUUAAAAAGUUUCAUGCAUUUUUUUUUUUUUUUUGAGAAAAAAUUUUCAUGCAUUCUUUUGUAACAGAGUGAUGGAAAGAGUAUUAGAAGUCAUGAGAUUCAAGGAAGGAUGUGAAUUUAACAUAAACCUAAGGAUAUACACUCCCACAAUCCCAGUUAUGAAAAGAGACAGGUCAUUUUGUAAUCAUACAAGAAGAACAUGAAAGCAAAUCAAGAAAUUACUUCAGGAGGCAACAAAAGCUUUCACUUACUACAGAAUUAGCAAGCCCUGAGAAUUGAGUGCACUUUAAGUACAAAGUAUUCAAAUUAGGCAUUCCCUUCAGAAGAGAGACCGCUGUUGGAACUAGUUCAUCAUUCAAACUACUCAGAGGCAAACCCAGCUUACGGAUAUCACUUAAUGGAGCCUUAAUAGAACCUUCGCUCAGCAAAGCCUGCAUGCAAUUGUUUUUAAAAGUUAAAAAAAAAAAAAAAAAAAAGGAGGAAGAAACAAUAUACUACAAAUUAAAAAAAAAAAAAUCAACAGGAAUGUAUUUCAAAAUCUAUGAACAAUCAUUUACUAGUCAACAUGUUUCCUAUUUUAAUUUCAUUGACAAAUCUAUGACUAUACACUACAAAAUUACUUUCUUUGGUAUUAGAUCUAUAUAAUGGUAUUCAAACUAAACUUCCAGCAUGUUUUUAACUUAACAUCAUGUUAGUGUCAACUCUGUCGUAAAAUGCCAUAACCUUUACUCCUACUGAAAACUCAUGAGUCAUAAUCUAUACCACACAACAUCCUUGUUAAAGAAUGUAAAAAGAUAUAAUGAGGGAAAGAUCAAAUAGCGAAAUUCUGGUUUAACUGAAACAGAACUUUCGAAAGGUUACCAUAUCUUUACCUUGAUGGUUAAUUCGCUGAGAAUAACAAAUUUAGCCAUGCAUAUACUGCAAAGAAACUUGGAUAUAUUUUCAAUGUCAUAAUUCACUUCAUAUCCCAGAAAAAUUUCAGCAUGCUCCAAACAGACAAAUCUCCCCAGAUUUUGGCUAUUCAUCAGACCACCUUUCCAUUUCAAUUUUUUAAGAACCGGGGCAGAAAUACUUAAAGAUUUGCUGCCUGGUGACGAAGAAACAUUUCUCCAUGUAAUAUGUAUAUCUCCAAGCUUCUCACCACAUAUGUUGAGAUGAGACAAAUCAUUUGUACGAACUGUAAAUGAUUCCAAAGAUGAGCUGUUGAUGUUGAUGUUUGUAUCCCACUAAUCUCAAGAAGCUGCAACUCCUUAAUGCAUUUGCAUGAACAUGAGAUCCAUUUGAAAAAGCACUCAUCUUCUAUUCUAACUUCAUACAACUUCAAGUGUUGGAGAUUAGGCAAGACAGAUACAGAGGGUACUUGAAAAAUCCACCCCUCGAAGUACACUGAUAGAGAUCUCAAUGAUUGAGAAUGAAAGACACAAGAGGGUAUCUUAAACAUGGUCAAGGGCCAGGAGAAACUAAGGUCAAGCACUUCAACACGAGAUGCUACUGCCUUCUCGAUCCAUGUGAUUAUUUUAAGAUGCUCACCAGAAGUAUUCCAACAGAAAUUCCACUGAAGGCGAAACUGCUGCACCCUAUUAUCUCCACGAUGAAAUAAAUACCUAUCCCAUGAGUUCAACAUCUUAUCAUGCAACUCACCAGUUCUUGAAUAGUAAUUUUCAUCCAGAUCCAAUGAGGGAAUUGACAGAUAAAAUUGUCUGCAUGUUUUGGACACAGCACCCACUCGAGUAAGGUCUCUAAAAUCGAGACUGGAAAGAAUAUGAUGAGCAACUCCAUCUGGAAGCACACUAAAUCUGUCUCUUUUUUCAGUUUGCAGCAACUUUCCCUUGUGCCCCAUGGCACUCUUUUCCUACCUUAUUAUCGUAAGAGCAUGUAGAGGACUAUCUGAAGUAAAAGUGGAACUAGUAGCACUAUCGUUCGCUGCAACAUUAAAAGGACUAACAAAUUAACAGAUUUAACAUUAUCACAUGGAUAGUUUGCAAAUGAACAAAUGGAACCGGAGAGGGUUCUGCAUCUGAUCACUGCUAAAAGGAACACCAAAACAUUUUCAGCGUCUGCGAUACUUUCAGUCGAUCAACUAAAAGACACAAUAUAGGAAAGCAGUAAUCAACUCGUAACCUAAUAAGACCAACAAAGAGCAUACCCAAGGAGCUAAAGAUAAAAGACACAAAGACAAGAGGGCCGGGGUAACUGAAAGUAUGAAAUACAAGCAUGUUCUCAUAAUCUUAUAUGAAACACCUAACUAAUAUAUGAAAGAACAGAAGAUGCCCUGAGGAACACUCAACAGUAUACCCGGCCCAUUGAAAAACAUAAGGUGAAAAAUAUGAAGUUUCUUCACUUUCUUCCAGUACAAUAGAUUAGAAAUAAGCAUAGCAAAGCAGUAGCAGACCCAUUUUCCCAGCAAUUCAAAGCACUACAUAGGAUAGAAGGCGGACACAAAAUGAAGCAAACCCAUUUUCUCAAAUUCAAAUCAAAUGAAGCUGUGAAACCCAGAACAACCAAAUGAUAAUUUGUCCCAAAAGAGCAUCAAUUACCAUGAUUAAAGACCAAUGGGUACUAUGGUUUCACCUCAGGGGUUCAGGGUUUCUCCACUAUCGAUCCCUAAUAUAAAAGUAUACAUAAAACGGAAAACAGGGAACAAUUAGACAGUGCAAACCUCGUGAUUGUGAUUGUAGCGAUGAGACCGCGGAACUCUGAAAUGGUAUAACUCGGAACGAAAUUGAACUUUGACGACUAGAGAGAGAAGUGGCGAGCUGUUUGUACUCCACUGAAACCAAGCUAACAAAAACGGCGCCAUUCAAACAAGGGCCCAACCCAAACAAAGGCCCAAUCAGAUUAAAAAAUCAGGGGCAGUUCAGUCAUUUCAUCAUAAACCCUAAUCUUGAAAAACCCUAAUCAUGGUAUCUAAAGUUUCUUUCUCCUCAAUUAGAGAAAAUUUUAGAAAAUCUGUUUGAAACAAAAUACCCAAAAUCUUCUCUAAAAUAGAGAAAAUCAAGAAAAUAAGAAAAAUGUUGGAGAUGCUCUAACUAUCUAUCUUUUUCUCGAGAGUGACAGUAGGUAACUUAUGGCAUCAUUGUGUGAUCUUUUAAAAGAUAUAUUAAUCGCAAUCGCCCUACUUCUUUCUUACUGUGAUCAUGUUCAACUUGCCACACUAUGGAAGACUCUCUAUCGAGUUGUUGUUACUGUUGUUCAACUUCAAUGUGGUCGGAAUAUACCAUGGCUAAUGACCAUUAAUCGGUAUGAUAGUCUCUUUGACGAUAAAACGAAAUGUGAGCUCUAUGAUUUCCAGCUCAAACAGUGUCUCUAGCUCUUUCAAGAAUCACAGGGAGCCAACUGCAAGAACUACUCUGGAAUGGCUCUAUUGUGGCUUCAAAAUAUGGUUAGCUACUUGUAACGACGAGUCCUACAUACUGUUUAUGUAGUCCGCUUACAAAUCAAAUAAUUGAAUUGCCUCCAAUAGGGUCACACGACUAUUUCCUAGGUGCAACGUUCUCCGGCCCUCCGACUUGCUCCGAUUGUGUUGUAUUCGUGAUAUGUAGAAGAGGUCUAGCUAAAGCAAAUAGAGGUAUAUGCAGCAUAAGCACAUGCAAUCUCAGAGAAAGAAGAUGGACAACUAAUACCUAUAAUGUUUAUCGAAAGCCGAAUUGAGGAACGUAGCCUAUGUUGAUGGAAGUUUUUAUCGUGCCUUCACUGUCGGUUCAACCCUGCACUUAGGUACCUUCAAUGUUUCAUCUUAGGACCGGACUGGGCUAUAGUGAAAUCAGUGAUCAAACCCUCUAAUUUAUCCUAUCAGUUGGUUGAUUCUGGUGGGGGCCUCUUACUAAUAGCUAUGCCUCGUUUUAGGCCUGCAGUUCAUACUGCUGCUUGUCUUCAGUUUGAUCGAUUACGAAAAAAAUGGACUCGAAUUAAGAGCUUCACCGAAAGCGCUGGACUACGCCAAAGUGUUGUACGCCGCUGUGGUUCCCAUACGAGUGGCAGCUGUUUACACCUAAAUUAAUAUUUUACUGGACAGUAAUUGUUUAGGUGAAUAUUAAUUAAAUUCAUGGUCCAUGUCAUAUCAGCGAGCCCGAAAUAAUGGAUUUACGAGUGAUGGCCCGCCAGGAAGGUCAUGCGAGCUAGACAAGUUUGCAUGGACAAAAAGACUUCGCGUGGUGUAGAAGGAUUAGGAGAUGAAAGUGGACUUGAUUCAAUGUAAAGUAGUUUGCUUACCCAGGAAGUCAUGCGAGCUGGACAAUCCGCGUACGAACGGACUCCGCAUAACGGACUUUGCGUACAAGAGGAGUUUAAUUGCUGGGGGAACACCUCGCCCCGAUUUGGAACACCUCGCCUCGACUUAGCAUCGUACCCCCACUUGUAUAUACAAGAGCACGUGCAUGGCUUGUGGUCCUUUAAUUACAUAAGUAUCUCGACGGCAUCUUGAUGGAAUCUCGCUACGACUUGGAAGCAUCUCGACGGCAUCCCGACUCGACAAGCAUUUUCGCGCUCGAUUUGAGAUAUUAUCAUCUUGCCCUUGAUUAUAUCUAGUGGUGCACGUACAGUAGGCUUUCAAAGUCAAAUGCAUGCAUGUUUAAUUAUUGGAGGGAGAUAUCUUUGAGCUUAUAGCCCGCAUAGACGAUUUCACAUAGAUGAUUAGCAUGCAGAGAGGUUGCAUGUGAGAUGGACUCCGCACGAUUGGAUUUCGCAUGCAAGAAAGUCGGGCUUCAUACUUCGCCACCGCAUGCUUGAGUGGAGAGAAUGUCGUCAUCUCGUCCUUAAUUGGAUAAAGCAUACGACUAUAGUACGAUCUAUAUGGAGUUAUCCAGAUGAUCACGGGUUGGGUAAACUUUAUCAUGUUGCCUAGAGUCGGUUAUGUCCGGUAUACAUCUGUGAUCAUAUCAGGAGGCAACCGAGUUUAAGUGCCUUUGUUAUAUUUAUCGUUGAAGACUCCUACAAGUCUUUGACAUGCUUUGGGCCAAUACAUGUGGCCCUAAGUAAUUCUAUAUAAAGGAGUUUAAGCAGACUCUCAACAGAACAAACAAAUCAACAACUCAACAAUUACAAAAUUACCUUCAACACAGUUGAACCUUCAAACGCUCCCCGGAGCUUUCCUUUUGUUUCCUUGUACGCUCCCCGGAGCUUUGCCUUGUUUCCUCUCCUUUCCAAUUGAAGCUCUGCUCGACCCUACGUCAAGUAUCGAUAUUGUGACGCUCAUGCGGACUACUGUAAGUCCUUGCCCAGUACGCAAGGCGAAUCUGAAGAACCCUGCGGUGGAGUUGGUGCGCUCUCCAUCCUCAGUCGCUUGAUUAGAAGUAGAAAGCUAAGCGCACCCCGCUACUACAACCACUAUUUUCCCGUCCGCGCGGUGGCAUGCCCGCAACAACCAAAAGAGACUUUGCAUACCCAGAAUUACUGGUGUGGCCAAAACAGCAGCGUCUCAUCCGCGCAGACGAUUUUCAAGGAACAAGGAUGAGAUUUCUCAGAUGACGGGAAGGAAGCUCAACAUGACGGCGUCUGGUGAAAGUGGAAUGCCUUUUGUGUAAGCUCGACAUGCGCCUCUCAGACCAGCUCCGUCCAUAGCCUCGUCGAUUCCGUCAUGGAAGAGCUCGAGUACUUGUGCUCAAGAAGACUUCGCGCCUCCGUCAAGUAGGUCCUCUCUCUUUCCAUUUUUUCAAUUUCAACUUUUUUUUUCAAUUUUAAGUUGAAAUUUUCUUAAUUAUGAGCUUUAAAUUAUGUAAUUUAGAGUAUAAUUUCAAGCUUAUAUUGAAAUUUCUGUGAAAAACAAAUUUAAUUACGAGUUUAGAGGAUGUAAUUUUAGGUGAGGAGACAUAAUUAGAGUUUGAGAUAAAGAACAAGGCUUCAUAUAGUUGAUUAGUUUUCGAGCUGACGGGGUGAAAAGGAGGUUCUUACGACGCUGCCGGGAGAUGAGCGACGUCUCCUCAACCGAGAGGGCGAAUUAGCGGCAAGAGAUUCGUUGCUAAUCUCUCUGGAUUUCCGGAAUGUCAAUGGGAGAUUGUGAAUGAUUUAGUUGCACUUCAUUUAGUUGUUCUGGGCAUGGUGUCGGUUUGUGAAUGUAUGGCACUGUCUUCAUCUUCUGGGUUGCUUUUACGUAUUGACGAACUUGAGAUUAUCUUGUAGUGUCAAUGUUAAUACUUAUGUCUGAUUUGAUUCGUUGUUGCCAUUAAACUAGAAUUGAGUUCAAGUUCGAAAUAAUCGUAUUUGGAUUAUUGAUGCAUCAUGGAUCGUUUUCUUUCUAUACCUACAUUACAUGUGUAAUCUUAGUGUGCAUAGUUAAUGAGUUCGAACUGACUGGUUUGAUCUUGUUCUGUUGAUUGAAGCAUUUCAGAAGAAAACCAUUCCAUUUGGAGUGAAGUUGGAGCUGGCGUCUGGUAGCUUGAUUCUGGACUCUGUAUGUUGAAGUCAAAGUAGCAAGUGUUUGUGUUGAUGGGGCUCAAACAAACAAUCUGUCAUCUUGGUUCUAGUUUUGGUGAUUAUUUGUGGAGGGUUGUACAUGUAUACUAAAAGAAAUGGUUCCACCGCUUUGGAGUAAAGCAGUAAAAUAUGUAAAUUUGGUUCUACUUACUUGGGUGGUGAUGAAGAGGUUGAUGAGACACCUAACAAACUUGGUGAAGAUGGAGAUGAUGGUGUUGUACUGAAGAGCAUACCGGUGAGCCAUCUCUAACUUGUUCUAAUUACAUACUCUUUAUACUUAACACUGAGUUAGUUGAGUAAUCUUGUAUACUAAACUAUUUCCAUUUUUUCUUAUUUUUGUUUGCGAUGUAGGUUUGUGAUGAUAGACAUUCAGAUUUAAUUCCUUGCUUAGACAGAACAUUAUGAGAGACACUGCCCCGCUCAGGAAAAACAGUUUAACUGUUUAAUUCCUCCCCCACCUAGAUACAAGGUGAGAUGCUGCAUUGUUUAUAUUAAUGGAAUUGAUGGAACGUUGCAUUCUAAGUAAUUUAAAUUGAGAAAUAAGUAUGUUUUCUGUCUUCAUUGAAGAAGAGCUUUGGGUUAAUUUAUGUUAAUAUUAUAUAGUUCAAAUAGAUGAAAAUUAUCAUUCAUUGAGUUCAUAGUGAUAGUAGGUGUCAUCUAUUUGUAUAUGGUAACCAGAAAUUGUGGGAUUCUUCUUUAGAAAAAGUAGGGAUUGUUUUUUAUUUUUUAUUUUUUUUUCAAAUAGAUCGGUGCAACAUAGUUGAAGAUAUGCGUAUCAUAAUUGCUUUAUUACUGUCAUUUCGAUCGUAUGGAUUGUGCAAUUCGGUUCCAUGCAUCAAAACAUUCUAAAGACCUCUGCCACUUCAACAAGAGGAUGGAUUUUGGAACUAGGUGGUGUUUAUAACAGUGGUCAUCAUCUUGCCAUAAACGCAAUCGUGCUUAUUUUUUGUAACUUUUCUUAACAAUUGGUCACCAUCUUUGUUGAUAUCUGUGGUUCAAUUUCAUAACCUAAAUUACACUGAUCUGAAUCUUACAACAGGUUUAGGGUUUACAGCAAAACAUAUUGAAGACAGACACUGAUGAAUGGAAAUUACAGCUUACUCUACAUUCUAACUUGUGUUCCCAAUCCAGAUUGCAUCAUGAUCUUUAAUGUAUAAUUCUUUUGUAUUCUCAUUGCCUUCUUUAACACCGGGUUAUGCAUGGCACAGAUUCACGUUUCAAUGGGAAGAAAUGUACUGUGAUUUUUCAUUUUUUCAUUAUAAUAGAAAUGGAGUUCUCGCUUCUCUAGGAUAAGAUAUACACACCUCAAGAACCUGAUAUAUUUCAUAUAGUUUAGCAUAUCAUAGAAAAUGCCCAAGAACUUGAUAUAUUUCAUACAGUUUAGCAUAUCAUAGAAAAUGCAUUACAAUCUCCAGCUUUUGCAUCUCAUAGAAAAUGCAUUACAAUCUCUAGCUUUAGCAUCUCUGGUCAACAAUCCUCUGGUCCCCAAAUUACAAUUAGUAUCUUAUACCAGAUUGACACAACUUGAUCCAAAUCAUUUAUUCGUACUUCUUCACUUGUUGAAGGAGGCCCAAGUUACAUCUCAAUAAAACUGAAAGAGAGACAAAUUAGCUCCACUUCCAUCUUUAUGUAUAACUCAAGAAUGUAUUAUUCUAUUUGCUCAUAUGAGAUAAGAUAAUUAAAAUUUGCAUCUCCCACAAGACUUGCUUAUCAAUUUGAGCAGCACUUUCUUGAAAGGCAGUAGCAAAAUGUCCUCCUGCUGCCUGUUAAAAAAGUUCAGCUAAACUAGAGACACAUGAGAGGAUAAAUGAGGAAGAGAAGCAGUAAAGGAAGAACAAUACUGCAGUUAACAGCUGAAGUACUUAGGAAAUCUUAAAGCGGUAGUCAGUAGCCAACAAUGAUAAAGCUAGCAGAGCAACUUAAAUGAGGAAGGAACAAUUCCAUUGAAUAACUUUAAGAUAAAUAUACAUUGACAAUAAAUAUGAAACACAUGCAGACCUCACUCCGACGUUUCAGCUUGUAAAUUGCCUCCCUAAAUGAUGAGACAAAGUUGUAGUUAAUUAUAAUCUGCAUAAUUUUUGAAAAACAAUGAGAAUUACUGAAUUAGCAUUGACGUAUCAAAAACAAUAUCAGUCAAAGACCAACUUGUCCAUGAUGAAGGUCUGGUUCCAUGUGCUUUCUGAACAACAGGAAAAUGAUGUCAAUAAGAUAAUCCAGUGAACAAGAAUCUCUGAUAUCAUAUCGAAUGAAGGUUGAACACCACCAACCUGAUAUGACAACACUACAAAUCAAUAUCAUAAGAUUACCUCUGCAACUCGAAUAUGCAGCAAAGAGCGCAACUUUGCAUGAAAAGCAUAGGUGCCAUCAACUACUAGUCUAUUACCUACAAACAGAGUGGAGAUAUGAACUCAAAAUCAAAGUAUAUAUAUUAAAAUAAUAAAAACAUUUAGAUACAUACCACUUGUUGAACCAACAAGUUUCUUUGUUGAUAGUCAAAAAUUGGAACCAAUGUAUCUUCACCCAUGUCGAGUCAUAUUUUCUCGCAUAAAAUCCUGAUACUAAGUUCAUAGAUAUAAUAAGAACAAACCUUACAUAUUAAAUUGAUCAUUAUUGCUAAUCAGGAAAGGUUGGUUUGAACAUAACAUAUAAGCCCAGAUUUGACAUGAGAGAUACUAUAUAGAAGUAAAAUCUGCUACUGAAAUUUCAUGGAUAUAGUCAAAUAUCAUAGCUGAGCAGUUGAAAACAUUCAAAAAUGGCUUACUAUUUGUUUAUAUCUAGCCAAAUUAUUCAGGCAUGAAGCAUGAUUCGAUACCAUCAGAGUUAUAAUAUGAAACGGAGGAAAAAGCCAAAACAUGGAUGCAAACCUCAAGAUUUCGGACCACCAACUCAAAAUCUAUUGAACCAAGAUCCCUUCAUCGAUCACAUCAUGGUAGUUCUCCAUUGCUACAGUACAAGCAAUAACAGAUUGCACAUUUUCUACUAAGCUUCAGAGGACAUAAAAAAUAAUAACAAGAUUAGCGAUCGAACAAACAGAAGCGGUAAAAUGUUUUUCGUUUGAAGAAAACUAACACCUACCUUGUUUCACCAGAAAUACUUGGACCACCAAUGCCAACGGUAACAAAGCCUCGUAUUUCUCUCUAAGCUCUUAGAUAAAUGUUACCAGAAAAUAAGACUAGCGAUCAAAAGACUGCACAUUCCAACCCAGAGCAUUGUCAGGAUGAAACCAAGUAAGAACACACGAAAGUACAAUUUGGUUUAAACAAGGAUUAGCAUAACAUUCAACUCUACAUGCUUAUUUAUGUGUAUACAAAGUGAAAGAUAGCAAAAAGUUUCCAUAUUUCCAUCGAAGAACACAUUCAGAAUUGAAUAGAUACAACAACUGCAUCCACAUUUCCUCAUAAACCCAAUAUCAAAACCCACUCAGUUCCACAAUUCUCAUCGUAAAUCACCAAAAUUUGCAAGCAACAAAGUAAAACCUCAACGUACAAAACACCUCAAUAAUCCUAAUUCCAAGCAAAACCCAACACUCAAAACUGAAAAACCAAUCUAAUAAACACAUAAGAUACAAUCUUGAUUGGAAAAAGCAAAACUGAACAAACCAAAACAAAGAUGGGAGCUUUGAUAGUACCAAACGGAGAGGAAGUGAUUGAAGAAUAGAAGAAGACGAAGACGAUGUUGAGGGCUGCUGUUGGAAAUAGUCGCGGCCUCAUUCAUGGAAAACUCGCUACACAACUUCAUUCAUCCCUCUUGGAAGGGUACAACGUCUAGACACGUACGUCUCCAUCGAUUUCGGGCAAAAUCUCCGUCUUGUCCUUCAGACUGGCAGUAAAAUCAGGCAGUUACUGUGACUGCCUGAAAUUACAGAAUUGCCCCUCCUUUAACGACUCCGUCUGGAGUACCGUACGACGUGCGUAGUGCAGUUGUUGCCCUUGGGAAAUCAAAUAAUAUUUUGCUCAAAGAUGGGAUCCAUGGUAGUUCCAGCAGAUGAAGUCGUCAGUGAUUUUGCUAUUAUGGUACGUAAGUUCGGCUUGUCCAACACCGUGCGUUCUACCUACACAACUGAAGGCGAUGGGAAAAGUCAUCAGUUGGAAACGUGGGGCAGCAGCACGGUGCCAAUCUGGAUUGAACCCCUAUAUAUAUCUUUUAGAAAAGAAGUCAUUGUAAAUGGAUGGAUACCUAAAUAGAAUAUAUUUAUAAGUAUUUGUUUUUGUGUUUGUUCAGAUUCCUUAUGAUUUUGUGGUGAUCAGUAUCAUGUUUCGUGGGAAAUAUGUACUACAUGCAUCUCAAAUCUCUCUCGAUUCAUUAUGCACAUUUAACUCUCUCAGUUGUGUAUUUUCCAGAAAACUUCCGCAAGUUUAUAUGAUUUAGAAAGUACUUGUGCUGAUUCUAGAAUCUAGAAGCAAUCCAAGUCAUCCCACUAGCUGGCUUGGUCAAUCCGUAAGUGAUCAACCGCGUACGUACCUAUCGCUCGAGCCCACAGUUUGUAGGAAACUUCAUCAUAUAUGUGGGCAACGCUAGAAGUCACCAACAAAUUGGCAACUUGUAUGUAUCUCUCUGAACAUUGACUAUUAAUAGUGAUCAUUGGUCUUCUUUCUUAAAUAAUGUUUUAACUGAAUUUGACGAAAAGUUACAUGCCAUAGAUCGAGUCCCCACCCCUUCUGGAAUAACUAGUUAUUCCUUUUCCCUAAAAAAAACAAAAUGUUCCAUACUAAUUUGGUUGACUAUUAUCAUCUGACAUGGAGGACAAAUAAACACUAGCUAGCUGGUCCAAAACACUUUUCGGUUAAUGAGUACCAAAUUACCAAUAGCUAUAAUUUGCUGAGAAGUUGGUGAUAGGAAUAGGAUUUAUUGAAUUGAAAGAUGUAAGAGCAUCUCCAAUGGAGAUGUUUUUUGCUUAUGUCAAAUUCAAAAUUUGACAUCUAACAUGACAAAUAUAACUUUGGCAUAUUUUGACCACUCGUCUCCGAUGGAGAUGUCAAAUUUGAAUCUUUAUUUUAACAAUAUGGCAAAUGAAUGGUUUUUGGUUCUGGGUUGGUUUUGUUGUUGGUGAUGAGAAGAAAGAGAAAACAAAGAAGACGCGAGAAAAAUAACCAAUAAAAAAGAAAGACAGUUUGUGAGGAGGCUGUCAAAUUUGACAGUCUCUUACCCUAAUGUCAAAUACAAGUGGAUAUAACAUUUGGGUUGGAAUGAAUUUGGGCUGUCAUUUUAGAGUUGUUGGGCUUAUGUGGCAAAAAAACCUCUCCAUUAGAGAUGCUCUAAGGCAGAAAAGUAAAAUGCAGAGGUUGAUGAAUAUUGUACAUCUCAUAGAAUUUAUAAGGUAGGUAUUAAAAUCAAAUGACCUAAAUAUCCCUAUACUUUUAACCGUUGGAACUUAUGCUAUGGGAGCCACCUUGGAUAUUUUGCGUCCAACUAGGGCUUCGGUUAAUGAGUACCAUUAGUUAUUUCACUUAUUUGCUUGGAACUUGUGCCAUAUAUGAAGGCAACUUGGAUAUUUUGCUUCCAACUAGGGCUUAACAUAUUAGACGACCAAUGACUUGGUCCGCAAAUGGGCGGCCUCUUAUGAGCUGAUCUUCAAGAAGCUUAUAUAUAGGGUGAUAAUGAAUAAAUAUGAACUCAGUAAGUCUUUGCCUGCUUAAUCACAUACCUUCAGUUUUAGAUUGAAUCAGUCACGCCUGUCAAACACAAGUGCAGCACUGCUUCUGUCCUUGAUGGAGGCGCCGGGGUCCCUUGUUGGAGGAGCUAUUCUAGGAACGCUGUUCAGUGAUUUGUAUGCACGCCUCAAACGUCUGAUUCACACUAAUCGGAUAUUUAAGGCGCUCUUCAAGGACAUGAUAUCCAGUCUAGACGCCUUAUGGCCACUGAUCAGGCCGAUUGUUGAAUGCAACAACAAGCUAGAGUACUGCUCCAAGGAAGAACUACAAGGUUUAGAAGAAGUGAUCAUGGAAGGCGCGCAACUGGCCCAAAAGUGCUUGAAGGUUAGCCAGUGGAUUCCCUUCAAAAAGUAUAAAUACGCAAGAAAGCUUCUUAAAUGGGACGAAGCUCUUAAAAGGCAGUUAGAUAUACUCAAGGUCCAAGAAACAAGGGAUGUGAAGAAGAUCGCACUUGGGUUACAUGGCCUGGAUGCUAAGAUGGAUCAUAUGAAUGAUAUGAUGAUACAUCAAUUUUUUGCCGGAAGUUCAUCAUCAUCAAGUCAUCAUACAGCACUUGAACUUCCACAGCUUCCAACGCUUAUGGUUGGAUUGGAUGUUCCUUUGAGGGAGUUGAAGCGAAAGCUUCUGACAGAUGAUGGUGUGUCAAUGCUUGUGUUGACUGCUCCUGGAGGUUGUGGGAAGACAACUCUAGCCUCCAUGUUUUGUCAAGAUCAAGAAGUCAAAGGUAUCUUAUACAGGCACAAUAUAAUCUUACCUUUGUUAUCAAGUUAAAUAACACACUUCACUGAUUAUUUGUUGAUUUACUUAUUUUGGGUAGAUAAAUUCGGUCGCAAUAUUAUCUUCGUCACUGUUUCACAAAAGGGGAACAUGGACCUUAUUGUGCAGCAACUAUGUGAUCACAACCAGCGUUCUCAGGUACCUCUUUUUCAAAACGAAGUACAAGCAAGUCAAUGGCUGCAAAGAUAUUUUGUGGAAAAAAGACAUCAUCAUCCUAUGCUAUUGGUACUCGAUGAUGUUUGGUCGGGAUCAGAAUCCAUUCUUGGGAACUUUCAAUUCGAAAUGUCAAAUUACAAGAUUCUAGUAACAUCAAGAUCCGAAUUUACGUGGUUCGGUCCUUCAUAUCAUUUACAACUAUUGGACGAUGGUAAUGCUAUGAAACUGUUUCAUCAUUAUGCAUCAUUGGGAGAUGGAAGCUCCCGUAUCAUAGAAGAACUUUCCAAAAAGGUGAGAUUAUUAAAUUCUUAGUUUCACAUAAAUUUACUUUUUUUUUUUUUUCUUUUUUUAGAGUAUCAAUAACGGUAUCCCUAAAGGGUUUUUAGGCCCAGAAAUUAAUCCGCGUCGAGAAAUCAUGUCAAAACGUUUCUUUCCUCUUGACCACCAAGAAUAAAUUAGGAUUUAACUUCAAUUAGCGUCGGCUGAGAUUCGAACCUGGGUAUGGGGAUUUCACACUUGGGCUCUUACCAACUUGAUUAUCUGUGGUGGUUUUCACGUAAAUUUACUUGAUUUACAAGAAAAAAAAAAAAAAAGUGAAAACUACACAGAUGCUAAUACCAAAUUAUUACAAACUUCAAUAAUCAAAUUGUAAUUGAUAGACUUCAUUUUACCUAAUUAGAUCAAUCAUGUGCAGAUAGUGAAGCGAUGUAACGGAUUUCCACUUGCCAUUACAAUUGUGGGAAGAUCACUGUGUAAGAAACCUGAAGAGUUUUGGAGAAAUACAGAAGCUGAAUGGGCGAAAGGUUCCUCGAUUCUUGAUUCUGAGACCAAAUUGUUUCUUUGCCUCCAAAGCAGCUUAGACGCCUUAGAUGAAGAUGUGGCCCUUGUUAAGGAAUGUUUCUUCGACCUAGGUUCAUUUCCUGAAGAUUAUCGAAUCCCUCUUGCUACCCUCUUUGAUAUGUGGGCAGAGUUAUACGGGCUAGAUGAUCACAGUAAGUGUAUUGCAAACGUCUAUGAACUCAGGACUCGGACUUUGGCUAAUCUUAUAGACCACAGGUACGUAUGGCAUAUGGUACAUACAUUCAUAUGUUAUUACCCAUAGCCCUUCACUGAGGAAUCCUCUUUCUUUUCUUUUUCUAAAUAUAUGAUCGAGGGAUCGAGCAUUAAACUAAUUUUGCGAUCACAAAAUCACAUCUCCACCGUUCACUUUAUAGAUCUAUAUGAGCAGAUCAUUUUUGUAAAAUUUUAUCCAAAUUGGUAAUCGUUAAAGUUUCGAACUAACUUAAAUCAAUGGACGGAUAAAAUCUAUCAAACCUGAAACAUUCAUGCAAACUGUUUUGAGUACCUUAAUGAUCACCGAUUUAGAUGAAAUUUUGCAUAAGUAAUUUACAUAUUAGGACCUAAAAAAUGAAUGGUGAAGAUUAAAAAAUGUAAUCGAAAAGUUGAUCUAAUGCUCUAUUCCUCAUAUAUGUCAAAAAAAAAAAUGAUCCGUGGAAGGGCCUGAUGUAUUACCUACCUACCUAUAUAUAUAUAUAUAUAUAUAUAUAUAUAUAUAUAUAUAUAUAUCUUUAAUCAGUAUUGUUUUCUUACAACUUCUUGCUUGGUAUAUAUACCAAGUCUUAGGCGCAUUAAAAUACUGAUUUUGCUUUUCUCAUAUUAGAGAGGUAAAGAUGGAGGGGGAGGACUUCUAUGAUGAAUGCUUUGUUACUCAACAUGAUUUGCUUAGAGAGCUAGCCAUUUACCACGCUAAAUUUGACCCAGUAGAUCGUCGAAAAAGAGUAAACAUAGAGAUCUGUGGAAACGAUCUUCCCAAGUGGUGGAGGGAACGAAAGUAUCAACCAAUGAAAGCUCGUCUAUUGUCUAUCUCAACUGGUGCGUUCUAGUUACUACUUACUACCAUCUUUUUUCUUAUCACAACAUACUGUAAAAUGUAAAUUAGUUGUCACAUUUUUUUUUUUUUGGAGAAUGAAUUAGUUACUUGUCACAUUACAUACAGUUCAUAUCUGAUUUGUUCCCACAACACUUGUGGUUUGCAGAUAGGGGGUUCUCAAUUGAAUGGCCCAACAUGCAAGUACCAGAAGCUGAGGUUCUCGUCUUGAAUUUUCAGACAAAGUCGUACUCAUUACCUAAAUUUGUGGAGCAAAUGAACAACUUGAAGGUUAUAGUAAUCGCAAAGGACGAUUACCAGAGCGCUGAUAUAAGUAAUUUUGAACUAUUGGGUUCAUCAUCUAAUCUGAAGAGUGUAAGAUUAGAAGGCAUCUCAAUUGCUUGCAUAACAAGGAAGCCGAUGCAAUUGAGUAGUCUAAAGAAGAUCUCUCUCUACAAGUGUGUCAUUGGUCUAACUUUCAGCAACGAAGUUGUAAAAAUGUCUGAUGCAUUUCCAGUCCUAGAGGAAAUGAAUAUUCAAGAGUGCAAAUAUUUGGGAAACUUGCUUCCGGAGAUUUGUGAUCUGAUUCAGCUAAAGAAACUCAGUAUCACUGAUCAUUCUGAUAUAGAAGCCUUGCCUGAAGAAUUUGGAAAUUUGGUGAACAUAGAAGUACUGAGGUUAAGGUCCUGUUAUGACCUUUUGAAGUUACCAAUCUCAAUUGGAAAUCUCAAAAAGUUAAAACUUCUUGACAUAUUUAACUGCAUCAGCAUCACGGAGUUGCCUCCAUCCAUUGGUGAAUUGAGCAGUUUAAGAAAGUUGAACAUGAAAUGGUGCUACAAAAUUAAAAAACUGCCUCUGUCAGUUUUGUUGCUUGAUCAGUUAGAGGAAGUGAUAUGCGAUGAAGCUACAAAACCUUAUUUAUGGGAUCUCUUUUCGAACGCUCUCAGAAACACGCGCAUGGUGGCUACAUGAACCAAAUUAGUAAGAAUUUUUCAGUGAAGGCUAGAGCAGCCUAUAUAUGUCGCAUUUUGGUUUUGAUUGGGAGGUUCCAGUUAUGUGUCUCAGUAUUUGUACGUUCCUCCUUGAGUCCUUGUGUUUGAAGGUGCCAGUUUCAAAAAUCAGGCCAAAUUUUAAUGUAUAGUAUAGCCUGCUUCUAUCAUUGUAUUGGCUCAAUCCUUUUAAGAUAUAUGUUGAUUCUAAGUAGACAAUAUCAGGCUAUCAUGCUCAAAUUUGCAUAAUAUAUUAUGUCAUACAAGACCUGCAAGUUACAAUGGGAAAUUUUAUUUAGUAUUUUUACGCGGCUGUAUGCCUCAUGUUAAGUCAAAUUUCCAAUUUAAUCCACUUUCAGGUGACUGAGAUUUACUGCAUAUAUGAACCUCAUCCUCUUUCCCUAAAACACUGAUGAUUGAGGGUGAGUGUUAACCUCCAAACUGAUAUGACCAAAAACCUUGUUCUGAGAACUGGAGAUUAAAUAGAGAGACUCAUUAGGCGCCUCAUCACAUUUCAUGUAAUAUGAACUAUUGAUGGUUUGAGAGUUGGUUAAUCUGGUUGAAAUUUAUGUACCAAGCAUUCUUAAUUCUUAUACCCAGCGAGACUGUGCCCAAUAAUACAGCUGUAAUUUACUUUCCAAGAUAAUCAACGUAAAAGGCAAUGCAAGCACAUCAAAGACUCAAAGAAACUGAAUAGCACAUUUCAUAUUUGUAACACACAUUUCAAAUAUAUUGCAACAAUAAAUCUAAAAGCAAAAGAGAUUGGAAGAUUCAUUACAAAUUUACAACCUGAAGCGGCUUCAGGAUAAAGUGAGAGAUCAUUAACCAUGCCAGCAGCUAGCUAGCAUUACAUUUCACUAAUUAAACUUAAUGAAGACAGAAAACCAUGGCCAUAGGAAAUCAUAUUACCAAACCAAAAGGAUUAAAGCUCGGCUCAGCUUGAUGAAAAUGAAUUGUGACAUUUGAAUUCAUCUUGCUUUGUUUCUUCACUACAUCAUCACGUUGACUGGGUAAGUGUGAUAUGACCAUCUUCUUUAACUUCCCAGCAUGUGCAAGGACAAACUUCGCAAACUCAAGGACAUUUGAACCAGGGGAAACAUCUAGCCUAACCUUGUUGAGCUUGUUGACAAAAGCAAGGUUUUGCAAUUUCCAAAACCCGAUAUCAAAACUGAAAAACUGAACAGAAGAAAAGAAUUUGCUAGUAUGAAUUAUCAUUGAUACAAGGCAGUAUACAUAUACAAGGUAAAGGAGUUACCUAUAAGGUAACUAAUCUCCUACUAAACUAGAACCAAGAAUACAAUAGGAAAUAGAUAACUACAGAAUAUACAUUCCUAAUAUAAUCAAUACUCAAGAUUACUUUCCUAACACUCCCCCUCAAGUUGGAGAGUGAAUGUCUCUAACUCCCAACUUACGAACCGUAGGAAUGAAAAUUUCUUUUCCCAAAGCCUUAGUGAAGACAUCUGCUAACUGGUGCACAGAACUCACAAAUCUUGUAACAACAGAACCAUCUUGUAUCUUAUCUCUUAUAUAGUGACAAUCCAUUUCAAUAUGUCGCGUCCGUUAAUGGAAUACAUGAUUUGAUGCGAUGUGCAGUGCUGCUUUAUUAUCGCAGUACAUGAAUGCAGGUUCAUGAUGCAAUACUCCUAAAUCUUUAAGAAGAUAACGAAGCCAUGUGAGUUCACAACAAGUACCUGUCAUGGCUCGAUAUUCAGCUUCAGCUGAAGAGAGAGAGACUGUUUUCUACCGCUUUGAUUUCCAUGAGAUCAGAGAAGGGCCAAGAAAAAUACAAUAACCUAUGGUAGAUCUUCUAGUAACCGGACACCCUGCCCAAUCCGAAUCACAAAAUGCACGCAACCUGAAAUCACUUUUAGAAGAAAAGAACAAUCCUUGACUAGGCGCAUUCUUGAUAUAUCACACAACACGCAUAGCUGCUUCCAUAUGUAACUUCCAAGGUUGAUGCAUAAUCUACUCAGUAUGUGAACUGAAUAUGUAAUGCUCGGUUUGGAAACUGUAAGAUAUAUUAACCUGCCAACUAGUCUUCGGUAACGGGCUGGAUUUUUGAGCAACUCACUUUUCUCAGAUAAUUUUAAACCUGUCUCCAUAGGGCUGUCAACAGGGGCUGCCCCUAACAAUCCUGCAUCCUUGACAAUUUCCAAUGCAUAUUUACGUUGACAGAUAAAAAUCCCAUUGUUGGAAGUCGAAACUUCAAUACCAAGGAAAUAUUUCAAGUCCCCUAAAUCCUUAAUACGAAAGUGAGCAUGAAGAAAUUUUUUGAGUGCAGCAAUACUUACUGGAUCAUUUCCGGUAAUCAUAAUAUCAUCAACAUAAAUUAAUAGAGUAGUAAAGGACUUGCCAUUUCUCUUUGUAAAUAGGGAAUAAUCUGCUCUGGACUGUGCAUAACCUGCUGAUAGAAUAGCUUCAGAGAACUUUGAGAACCACUGACGAGAUGCCUGCUUCAGGCCAUACAACGACUUAUGGAGUUUGUAGACAAGAUUUUCCUCCCCCUGUCUCCGAAGCCCUGGAGGAGGAGACAUAUAGAUGUCUUCUUUGAGAUCUCCAUGCAAGAAGGCGUUGUUGACGUCCAAUUGAUGAAUAGACCAGCCACGAGCUGCUGCCAAAGCCAAAACACAUCGGACAGUAAUAAUUUUGGCUGUGGGAGAAAAAGUCUCUUGAUAAUCUACCCCUUCAAUUUGAGUGAACCCCUUUGCAACUAAUCGAACUUUGUAACGCUCGAUUGAACCGUCUGCCCGAUGUUUAAUCUUAUAGACCCAACGACAAUCAAUCGGAGUCUUACCAAUUGGGAGAAGAGUGAGAGUCCAAGUCCCAUUAUCUUCAAGAGCUUGGAGUUCGGAACGCAUUGCUGCCCGCCAUUCAGGAUGUGCAGCAGCCUCAGAAUAGGAACGGGGUUCAACCUCUUGGCUAAUCUGAGCAAUGAAAGAUUGAUGGGCAGGCUUAUAGCGAUGAUAAGAGACAUAAUUGCUCAAGGGAUAGCGAGUACCUUUAUCCGGACCAGGUAGCAAAGAAGACGUUGGAUUGGGGGAAGACAGUGUGAUGUGGGAGCAGACAUAAUCCUGAAAUUUGAGAGGCGGAGCAGUAGUGCGGCUGGACCGACGAAGCGAAGCGUCGAGUGGUGGUGGAGCAGCCGGAGCGGCCAUAACAUCAGUGGGUUCGCUGAGAUUAGACAACGACGGAUUGGACUCGGUGACUGGAAUAGAAUCGACGAGAUUGGAAUCGAGUUGGGAUGGACUGAGAUGAGGCUCAACCAGAGAUGGAGUUCCGGCCGGAGAUGAGUCGACCGGAGGUUGGAGUACAGCCGGAAGUGCGACUGAACGAGAAGGUUCACUUGAGGAUGGCGGGCCUGAGGCGAGAUGAUGAGGGUUGGGUUGUUCUAAUGGUGGUGGAGAUUUUGUGACACGACCCACCCCGAAUUUCACCCUGAAACCCGGAGUAAGUCGUGCGGGGACCACCUCCAAGGAAAAUUUACUGAAAAGAUUGAUAAAAUCUCCCUUGAAAAUGGACAACCCUAACUCGAAAAUUCCAAAUUACACUCUUAAGACAACACGUCCAUACAUCACAUAAUUAUCCUUCAGAAAUUCUAAAAAACAUAAUAUACAAUAAUCUCAAAGUAUUCAGAGCUACUAGACGCUAGCGGAAGCAAGAAAACACAAGUAGGUUGAACAUGUAACCUACUGACGAAAACUGGCAGAAAUGCGGGUGACUAUGCCUCGCCUCCUACUAGAACCAACCCGAACUCUACAGACUGGGCAUUUUAAAACGAAAGGCCCAGGGGAAAACAUUUAAUAACGUUAGAGUGAGUGGACAAAAAUAAAUUAGUAAAUAAAAUAUUUAUGUUUCCCCAACUCAAUUCCCAAAGAAAAAUCGAAUGCAUGCCGCAAGCGAUAAAACUUUUAUCUCAUAAUAUAGCGAGUCUCUCAGACUCUAAAAAUAUAUGUAUGUAUUUACACUCGUCCAUACUCCCACUACCAGAAGAAAGGCUUUAGCCGACGAAAAUAAAAAAACCAGGCCGACGAAUUUUUUUUUCGUCGGCUAAAGUCCACUUUAGCCGACGAAUUUUUUUUUCGUCGGCUAAUUUAAAAUUUUCGUCGGCUAUUGUCAACUUUAGCCGACGAAAGUAAUAUUUCAUCGGCUGAAUAAUUUUUUUCGUCGGCUAUAGUCUGUGAACUUUAGCCGACGAAAUUUUUAAAAGUUUAGCCGACGNNNNNNNNNNNNNNNNNNNNNNNNNNNNNNNNNNNNNNNNNNNNNNNNNNNNNNNNNNNNNNNNNNNNNNNNNNNNNNNNNNNNNNNNNNNNNNNNNNNNNNNNNNNNNNNNNNNNNNNNNNNNNNNNNNNNNNNNNNNNNNNNNNNNNNNNNNNNNNNNNNNNNNNNNNNNNNNNNNNNNNNNNNNNNNNNNNNNNNNNNNNNNNNNNNNNNNNNNNNNNNNNNNNNNNNNNNNNNNNNNNNNNNNNNNNNNNNNNNNNNNNNNNNNNNNNNNNNNNNNNNNNNNNNNNNNNNNNNNNNNNNNNNNNNNNNNNNNNNNNNNNNNNNNNNNNNNNNNNNNNNNNNNNNNNNNNNNNNNNNNNNNNNNNNNNNNNNNNNNNNNNNNNNNNNNNNNNNNNNNNNNNNNNNNNNNNNNNNNNNNNNNNNNNNNNNNNNNNNNNNNNNNNNNNNNNNNNNNNNNNNNNNNNNNNNNNNNNNNNNNNNNNNNNNNNNNNNNNNNNNNNNNNNNNNNNNNNNNNNNNNNNNNNNNNNNNNNNNNNNNNNNNNNNNNNNNNNNNNNNNNNNNNNNNNNNNNNNNNNNNNNNNNNNNNNNNNNNNNNNNNNNNNNNNNNNNNNNNNNNNNNNNNNNNNNNNNNNNNNNNNNNNNNNNNNNNNNNNNNNNNNNNNNNNNNNNNNNNNNNNNNNNNNNNNNNNNNNNNNNNNNNNNNNNNNNNNNNNNNNNNNNNNNNNNNNNNNNNNNNNNNNNNNNNNNNNNNNNNNNNNNNNNNNNNNNNNNNNNNNNNNNNNNNNNNNNNNNNNNNNNNNNNNNNNNNNNNNNNNNNNNNNNNNNNNNNNNNNNUCACGCCUUAAUGCGGUGCUACACUACGCUAUUAAGGUGGACAGACGGGUGUAUAAAUAUGUGUCCAUACCCCCUAUGUGAAUUAAACACUCAUAUAGGGCUACUACGCUCACGUCCAACGCUCACGUCACACCAUAAUGCGGCUAUAUGCUACGCCAUUAAGGUGGACAGACACAUAUAGCUAGCUAGAAUUUUAUAUACAUACUCUCUCAUAAAUACAUAUUUAUAUCCACCGAAAAUCCCAUUUUCGGUAACUCUCCAAAAGAAAUAAAAAAAAUCGUCAAAUUAAGAUGACGUCAAAAAUAUUCCUCAACAUUAAUAUUCAACCAAAAACUAUAGCAUGCAUUUAUUUAAAAUAAACGUCCACUCACAAAUUAGGCCUAAGCCUGAUGUCGAUCUGGGGCCUCGUCUGCACGAGCCUCCUCACGUCCUAUUCCAAAUAUAAUAUUAAUUUCCCAACCGAAAAUCCAGAACGAACUCAAAAAUAGGCAAAAUAAUUAUGAGCCGUAACCACGCUCAUUCUCGCCUAACUUCGAAAUGGUCCACACCUCAACCCUAGAACCAGCAGCCGUUUCUACACCUUCCCACAGAUUAAACAACUUUAAUCCAACGGCCGGAUUCUACAUUAAUUAACCGCAAAAAAUACCAAACUUCGGAAAAUCAUAAACCUAUCCAAAACUCAUCCAAAAAUUCCAUAACUCACUUCAAUAAACUCCCCUUAAUAAUCCACAUUUAAAACCCUAAAAAUCUCCCAAACCGCGGCGGCUCCGCCGGCAACGGCGGCCGGAGGCCGAUUCCGGCGACCUCUAAAUUCUACCAAAUUUUAAGAGAAUAAUCCUCUCAACAUGCUCUACAACUUUCCUAACUAGCACAAACCCAUAAUCCAAGCCUAGCUAUGCCAAUCGAACGAAAACAACUUAAAAGCCCUAGAACUUCCACUCACCGGUUCUCCUUAUCUAGCUCAAGAGGGAGUGAGACCUUUGGAGGGGUUGUUGCACGAGAGGAGGGCUACAAAACGAGCCAAGGAUCGCCGGCUGUGGUGGCCGGAGGAGGGAGUUCCGGCGAUGGAACCACCACGGUAGUCGUAGCUUCCGGGCGGCGUCUCUUCCUCACGGCGGCGCUAGAGAGGCUGCCACCGGUCUAGAACGGUAGCUGGGUUGGAGACCGAUCGAUUGGGACCGGUGCGGCGGUUUGGGGCGGCCGGACGGCGGCGGUCGGAAUUCCGACAGGGAGAGGCUCGGGUGCGGGAGCGGGAGAGGAGAGAGAGAAUCGGGAGGGAGAGAGAGAUUUUUGGGCUUGGCCCAACCGGUUCCAACCCACAAAUACCCAAUCCAAAUUUCAACACCCCAAAAUAAUACCCUAUAAAAAUUACCUUUUACUAGCAAAAAUUUACUAUUUUUACCGUCGUCAUAUUUUUCUCCUACGAAUAACUCUCCGAAAUAAUCGUCCCCCAAAACCCCUUUAGGGACCAAUUAAACUAUAAUUUCAUUGACGAAGACGGUAAAAUUCUUAUUAUAAUCAAGCUAGUAAACAAGGUAAACAUUUAAGGGUCGGGAUGUGACAUUUUGGGCGGCGAGAAUCGGUCCGAAGGUUGGUGGGUGGUGGAGGGGAGGAAGGUGGUGGGGCAGAUGAAGAGGAGGGUGGUGCGGUAGAUGGGAGAGAUGGAGAAGACGUAUUGGGAACAGAUGCCGUCGUUGUGGAUGAGAGAGGAUAAGAAAAGUCAGUUGGGUCAUAGAUUGGAUUCGGAAUUGGGCCUGAAGAGUGGCCCAAGUGAGGAGAAACUGAAGUAGAUUUGUCAGAAGCAUAGGGAAAAUAGUUUCAUGAAAAAUGACAUCUCUACUUGUAAAAAUCUUUUUGGUGGAAGGAUUGUAUAAUUUGUAUGCCUUUUGGCCAACGGGAUAACCAACAAAAAGGCCAGCUACAGCACGAGAAUCAAAUUUAUGCAGAGGGUGAACAUUAGUAGCAUAAGCAAGACAACCAAACACACGAAGAUGAUGAUAAGGAGGAGGUUUUGAGUAAAGACGCUCGAAUGGGGUUUUGAAAGAAAGAAGAGGGGUAGGUAAUCGAUUGAUGAUGUGAACGGCAUGAAGUGCACAUUCUCCCCAAAAUUGAAUAGGGAGUUGGGCAUGAAAUCUUAAAGCUCGGGCGACUUGUAAAAUGUGGCGAUGUUUUCGUUCUACAACCCCAUUUUGUUGGGGCGUGUAAACGCAAGAAUGUUGAAAGAUUACACCAUUGUCAUUGAAAAAAGAUCAAAGUGAAAGGAACUCGCCACCAUUAUCACUGCGGAAAGCUUUUAUACGAGAUGUGAAUUGAGUGGAAACAUAGCUGAAAAAGCGCUUGAGAAUAGGUUGUGCUUCAUUUUUGUGUUUCAUCAAAAAAAUUCAAGUGAAUCUGGUGUAAUCAUCAACGAUGGUGAGGAAGUAAUGGGCACCAGAAAGAGAGGGGUGUUUAUAACGACCCCAGAUAUCACAAUGAAUUAAAUCAAAUGGUUUUUCAGAUGAAAUGGAACUCACACCAAAAGGCAAGCGAUGUUGCUUAGCCAAAGGACAAAUAGGACAAGCAUCAACGGGUUGAACUGAAAGAUUUAAGAAGUGCUUAGCAAUGAAUUUUAAAGGAGCAUGAGAAACAUGACCUAAACGGCUAUGCCAGAGAUCAGUGGAUAGGUCGGAUGAGGUUGAGAAGUUGCAGACUGAUUGAUGGUUUGAGGAUGAAUGGGAAUUGGUUAGGGUUUUCUUCGUCGCUAAUGCCGCCAGGUAAUAUAAUCCAUCACGCUGCUUUCCCAAACCAAUCAUCCUCCCUAGCCAGAUCCUGCAAAACACACCAAUAUGGGAAAAAUGUCACUGAACAAUUCAUGCCUCUUGUUAAUCUACUCACAGACAUGAGAUUAACUUUGAAUGUAGGGACACACAACACAUCAUGCAAAUAGUACUCAGAAUUUAGAGACAAACAACCCUUGGCAACAAUAUUGGCCUUUUCUCCACUAGGCAACAACACCGGAGGCAAUGAACAAUUUUUAUCCCCGUGUAGUAGUGAACUUUGAGAAGAAGAGAUGUGAUCUGUUGCGCCGCUAUCGAUAAUCCAACGGCGAGAAGUGAUCACUACCAGAAGAAAAGCUUUAGCCGACGAAAAUAAAAAAACCAGGCCGACGAAUUUUUUUUUCCUUCGUCGGCUAAUUUAAAAUUUUCGUCGGCUAUGGUCAACUUUAACCGAUGAAAUUAAUAUUUCGUCGGCUGAAUAAUUUUUUUCGUCGGCUAUAGUCUGUGAACUUUAGCCGACGAAAUUUUUAAAAGUUUAGCCGACGAAAAAUAUAAUUUCGUCGGCUAAAGUGCCUUAUAUUUGCAGAUCUGGACAACAACUUAUCUGGAAAAAAAAACUAUACGUAGAACAUUCAAACGUAAAAAAGUCGUGAAAUAAGAUAUGACCAGAAUGGUGAAAUACGUCUAUGGUUGAAAAAUCACGGUAUUCCGGUAUUGUCUCGGUGCCGAUAGUUGACUUACCCUUAUUAUUUACUAUGCUGCAGAUUUGGCGUUUGGUGUCCGAUUGACUAUUGUGAUACCUUUCUGGAAGCGUAACGGCCCUACGAGUCAAACUCAUCGCUAUUACCAUGACAUAUGAGCCUUUUUGGCCAUCCGAGUCCGUUUAGAGCUUCAAAAUGCAGUUUUCUUAUUUCUAAUUAGAGUUGACCGUUUUGAUCGAGCCCUUACCGUUGUCGAAUCCAGUUGAAUUUUUUACCAUAGACAUCUUUCGUCAUAAUGAUCAUAUCUGACGGUCGAAUUUUGGUUUGUGAAUUUUAGUCAUCGAAAUCACAACGUGUCUACUAUUUACCGUUAUUAUUCCCUAUGGGGAGCCCUAUCGUCGGAAGGUAAAUGUCUCAAAAUUUUUAUAUGGGCAGUUGCGUCUCAUCUACGUGAGAGUUUUUCAUGUGGAAGGUUUGACCAAACUACGUAAUAUAGAGGGAGAUAUGAGCGUUUUCGUGUGAUAAGUGACGAUGGAUUAGGGUUGACCGUUUCGAUCGAGCCCUUAACGUUGUCAGAUCCAGUUGAAUUUUUUACCAUAGACAUAUUUCGUCAUAAUGAUCAUAUCUGACGGUCGAAAUUUGGUUUGUGAAUUUUAGUCAUCGGAAUCACAACGUGUCUACUACUGUUGUAUAACUUGUUUAGUAGGUUAUACAACUUUGUGAACCAACUCUACAUAAGAGGCAAAAUUAUCAAAAAUCUUGUGAAAUAAGAUGUGUUCAGAAUGGUGAAAUACGGCUAUGGUUCAAAAAUCACGUAAAUCGGGUAAAGUCUCGGUGCCGAUAGUAGCGGUCAACCCUAUUUACCGUUAUUAUUCCCUAUGGGGAGCCCUAUUGUCGGAAGGUAAAUGUCUCAAAAUUUUUAUAUAGGCGGUUGCGUCUCAUCUACGAGAGAGUUUUUUGUGUGGAAGGUUUGACCAAACUACGUAAUAUAGGGGGAGUAUGAGCGUUUUCGUGAAUUUAUAGACUUUAGCCGACAAGAUAUUAAAAAAGUCGUCGGCUAAGGUAAAAAAAUUUCAAAAUUUUUUGGGCGGUAAACCAAAGUUGGAGGAAUAUUUUCAAAGGACUUUAGCCGACGAAAAUAUAUGAAAAGUCGUCGGCUAAAGUCGAAAAAUUUUCAACCAAAAUUUUUUGGCGGUCAACCAAAAUUUUCAAAAGAGUUUAGCCGACGAAAAUAAAGAAUUUUGUCGGUUCUUUAUAUAGGCGAAGAUGGAUGGUAAGAAGUCUAUUAUCUGCCAGAUUUUCUUCUCGGCCUAGUGCCCUCGUCUCUACUUCAUUGCUGGAUAGGUGGUGCAUCGAGUGGCGCCGCCGUGAGGGAUAAAUCGAGCUCCAAAACUCCGCCGGUUCGGAUUCGGUGUCGAUCGAAUUUCUCCUUCCUUAGGUCACCAUUUGGUGAGUUCUAUAUAUGGAUAAGUUGAGUUUGAUUAGUACUACAUUCCCCUAGAAUUUGGUAGCUCGAUUCGGUGUGUGUGAAGAGAAUCGAAGAUUUGAAGUUUUUAGGGUUUAAAAUUGGGGAUUUUUAUAUUUUCAGUCGAUUGACCUGUUUAGGCUUAGAAUUGGGUUCGACUUCUUCUAGAAAGUUGUUCGAAAUGUUGAGAGGAAGAUUCUGUCAAAUUUUGGUCGUGAUUGGAGGUGGCCGAAAGUUUCUGCAGUUUUUUUUUUUCAAAACCCAGCAACUUUAGCCGACGAUAUUUAAAUACUAUAUUCGUCGGCUAUAGUAUUUUUUAAUUUUUUUUUAUAAGGUUUUGCCGACGAAUUAUGCAUAAUUCGUCGGCUAUAGUUAUUUUUUAAUUUUUUUUGUAAGGUUUAGCCGACGAAAUAUAGUAUAUUUCGUCGGCUAUAGUUAUUUUUUAAAAUUUUUUUAUAAGAUUUAGCUGACGAAAUAUACUAAAUUUCGUCGGCUAUAGUUAUUUUUUAAUUAUUUAUUACACACUUUAGCCGACGAAUAUCUUAAUUGUUUCGUCGGCUAAAGUCUGGAAAAAAACCGACGACAUGUUUUUCGUCGGCUAACUGUGGGACUAUAGCCGACAAAAAAAAAAUUUUGUCGGCUAAAGUCAUCGCCAACGACCUUUUCCCGACAAAAUCUUAGUCGACGAUGGCUCGUCGGCUAAGAUCUUUGCCGACUAAUUAAGCUAACAGGCCGACGAAACUUUUUCGUCGGCUAAAGUGCUUGUCCUGGUAGUGGAUAUUAGAAAAUUUUGGUUUGGUAACUGCAGCAUUGACUUGCGUAUCAUCAGAUCCCUUGUGAUUCAAAAUGGCCAAAGCAUGUUGAUAUUGUUGUUUGGGAAGAGGAAUGCGAACGAAGAAACCGUUUUGCCGAAUAGACUGAUUUGAUCGAUUACAUUGGUUGAACACUAUCAUCAAGGACGGACGAUCAGGAUGAUCAAUGAAAUAAUAUUUGAAUUUUGAUUCGCCAUGGAAACAAGAGAAUUAUUGUACGAGAUAUAGAGUACAACAGAAUGAUCAGAAGGAUCACUGCACGAGAGACAAGAUGCAGCGGCUAUAGAGUCAGGAUCUAGUCCUGCUCUGAUACCAUGAAAAACUGAACAGAAGAAAAGAAUUUGCUAGUAUGAAUUAUCAUUGAUACAAGGCAUGCAGUAUACAUA
rnacentral:lncRNA from 1 species